CAAGUCCCAGGUGUUGGCGGACUUCGUGGCCGAAUGGGUCGACACCCAGCUGCCGACGGCUCCGAUCCAACCGGAGCUCUGGACCAUGUUUUUCGACGGGUCGCUGAUGAAGACGGGAGCCGGCGCGGGCCUGCUCUUCAUCUCGCCCCUUGGGAAGCACCUACGCUACGUGCUCCGCCUCCAUUUCCCGGCGUCCAACAAUGUGGUCGAGUACGAGGCUCUGGUCAACGGGUUGCGGAUCGCCAUCGAGCUAGGGGUUAGACGCCUCGAUGCCCGCGGUGACUCACAGCUCGUCAUCGACCAAGUCAUGAAGAACUCCCACUGCCGCGACCCGAAGAUGGAGGCCUACUGCGAUGAGGUUCGGUGCUUGGAAGACAAGUUCUUCAGGCUCCAGCUCAACCACAUCGCUCGACGCUACAACGAAACUGCGGACGAGCUGGCUAAAAUAGCCUCGGGGCGAACGACGGUUCCCCCGGACGUCUUCUCCCGGGAUCUGCAUCAACCCUCUGUCAAGAUCGACGACGCUCCCGAGCCCGAGGCACCCUCGGCACAGCCCGAGGUACCCUCGGCACAGCCCGAGGCACCCUCGGCACAGCCCGAGGUACCCUCGGCCCCCGAGGGCGAGGCACUGGACGUCGAGGAAGGGCAGAGCGGGGCCACGCCUGAUCGAGAUUGGCAGGCCCCGUACCUGCAAUAUCUCCGCCGAGGAGAGCUACCCCUCGACCAAGCCGAGGCUCGGCGGGUAGCGCGACGCGCCAAGUCGUUCGUUUUGCUGGGCGACGAGGAGGAACUCUACCACCGCAGCCCCUCGGGCGUCCUCCAGCGAUGCAUCUCCAUCGCCGAAGGUCAGGAACUCCUGCAAGAAAUACACUCGGGGGCUUGCGGCCAUCAUGCAGCACCCCGAGCCCUUGUCGGGAAUGCUUUCCGGCAAGGCUUAUACUGGCCAACGGCGGUGGCUGACGCCACUAGAAUUGUCCGCACCUGCGAAGGGUGUCAAUUCUAUGCGAAGCAGACCCGCCUGCCCGCUCAGGCUCUGCAGACGAUACCCAUCACCUGGCCCUUUGCUGUAUGGGGUCUGGACCUCGUCGGUCCCUUGCAGAAGGCGCCCGGGGGCUACACGCACCUGCUGGUCGCCAUCGACAAAUUCUCCAAGUGGAUCGAGGUCCGACCCCUGAACAACAUCAGGUCCGAGCAGGCGGUGGCGUUCUUCACCAACAUCAUCCAUCGCUUCGGGGUCCCAAACUCCAUCAUCACCGACAACGGUACCCAGUUCACCGGCAAAAAAUUCUUGGAUUUUUGCGAAGAUCACCACAUCCGGGUGGACUGGGCCGCCGUGGCUCAUCCCAUGUCGAAUGGGCAAGUGGAGCGUGCCAAUGGCAUGAUUCUACAAGGGCUCAAGCCUCGGAUUUACAACGACCUCGACAAGUUCGGCAAGCGAUGGAUGAAGGAACUGCCCUCGGUGAUCUGGAGCCUGAGGACAACGCCAAGCCGGGCCACGGGUUUCACGCCGUUCUUCCUGGUCUACGGGGCCGAGGCCAUCUUGCCCACUGACCUGGAAUACGGCUCCCCGAGGAUGAGGGCCUACAACGAUCAAAGCAACCAAGCUAGCCGAGAAGAAUCGCUGGACCAGCUGGAGGAGGCUCGGGACAAGGCCUUACUACACUCGGCGCGGUACCAGCAGUCCCUGCGACGCUACCACGCCCGAGGGGUCCGGUCCCGAGACCUCCAGGUGGGCGAUCUGGUGCUUCGGCUGCGGCAGGACGCCCGAGGGAGGCACAAGCUCACGCCCCCCUGGGAGGGGCCAUUCGUCAUCGCCAAAGUCCUGAAGCCCGGAACAUACAAGCUGGCCAACAAUCAAGGCGAGAUCUACGGCAACGCCUGGAACAUCAAACAGCUACGUCGCUUCUACCCUUAAGAUGUUUUCAAGUUGUUCGUAUACCUCGCACCCACGCAAAGUUUAGUCAUCAAGGAAGGGUCGGCCUCGCCUCGGCAGAGCCCGACCCUCCCUCGGGGGCUAAAAGGGGGGAGACCCCCUCUGCGUCGAAAUUUUCCCUCGAAAAAAGAUCUCUUUUUAGCAGAAUUUCUUUCGUGCUUUUUGACUACUUCGAAAAGCGGAUCCUGGAAACGACGGAGUACACGUAAGCAGCCAAGGCUGACUGAGCCGAGGGACUCCUACGCCUCCGGGAUAUGGAUACCUCACUCAUCACCUUCUGCGAUAAGUAACUCGCGUUCGGAUAAAGCGACUCCGUGGACCGGACAAGUCUUCACGUUCGGAAGCUCUUCUGCCAAAGUGGUCCUUCAAGCUUUCUCGACUAAGUCGAAGACAGGGCCUCAUGGACGGGUGAAGGUACGCGUAAGCGGCAAGGCCGACCGAGCCGAGGGACUCCUACGCCUCCGGGAUACGGAUACCUCACUCAUCACCUUCCGCGAGAAGCAACUCUCGCCCGCACAAACAUCCCUGUUACCGACGGAAAGUCCAGAUGCUCGGAAUAAGGGGAAAAGAGACGCAGCUUUGCAAGCGCAGCGAGGGUGUGUUUUCUGGCCUCAGCGGCCGCAGAAGGCACACGCUACAAGACGAUCUGAUCCUGCAGGCUCGGGUCUUCACGCUGAAGGGGGUCGUAGUACCUUCGGCAUCGACGACGUCUUCAGCAAGGUCCGACCCAGCCUCGGACGCCCCGCCAACCACUCGCCCCGUCACAUUAACUCCGCGGCGGGACAGGCGACGCUUCUGGCAGGAGAAGCGGACGACGCUUUGCCUUCACCGUAAUAACCGCGCCAAAAAAAGUACGCCACGUCGUUCGAUUUCGUAUCCUUUUCCCUUUUUCCUCUUUCUCUAUCUCUUACAACAGGUACAGGGAAAGGGGGAUACCCCGAAAAGGAUCCUUCCCUGUGAAGGAACUGGGCUCCAAGCCCCCCCCUACUGAUCAGAGGUUCGAAGGCUGGCCCUCCGAAGGGUUCAACAGUCGCCUCAGAUCGCGUGGGCCCGACACCCACUACUGGUCAGGGGUUCGAAGGUCGGCCCCCCGAAGGGCUCCAUGGCCGCCUCAGGCUACUCGGGCUCCGCGCCCAUUACUGAUCAGAGGUUCGAAGGCUGGCCCCCGAAGGGUUCACAGUCGCCUCAGACGCCGAGCGAGGGAUGACCAGGGGUACGUUCGAUACAUAACCGAGGCUCGGGCUGCGCUCCCGAGGUACCCUAGGACAUUUCCAAGACCAGCGGGAGCGAUCUUGUAACGGAAUCCCAUCGGAGGGAGGCAUCGAGCCCUCGGACCCCGUCGCCAGGGGACCGGGUCCGGCAGAUCACCCGCAGGUACUUUUGGGCGUGCCUCUGGGCCCCUAGCCGACCCCCAACGAACGGGGCACAGACGUCCACUCGGAUUACCCGCUUGCAGCUCACCGGAGACACCAUGUUCGGUGCCCAUCGAGGGUAACAUGGCGCACUCCCCCCCUCCUCCUUGCGGAAAGGCGACGUAGGGGCGUAUGCAAAAAGUCGAGUCUGUCCCUGAUCGUCCUCUCGCCCUGUGCGGAGGCUCGGGGGCUGCUCUCGCAAACCCGGCUCCGGCCGAACCGUUGACAGCGUCAACAUACCAGCCCGAGAACUUGGGCCCCGACCGUGCACCCGGGCUACGGCCAGUUCGCAUGAGGGAACGACCAGACCAGCCGAAGCGUUACGCAAGGCAUUAAGACCUCGAAGGAGUGAAACCACUCCUCCGAGGCCUCGGGGGCUACACCCGGCGGGUGCGCUCGCGCGCACCCACCGGAAUAAAAUGCAACCGAGGAAGGCUGGUCCCCUUGCAAAAAAGUGCGACGAAAGCCUCCAAGCGAGUGCUAACACUCCCUUCGAGGCUCGGGGGCUACUGUCGGGGACCAUAAUUAGGGGUACCCUCAAGACGCCUAAUUCUCAGCUGGUAACCCCCAUCAGCAUAAAGCUGCAGAGGCCUGAUGGGUGCGAUUAAGUCAGGGAUCAGUCCAUACGAGUGACUCGAUCACGCUUCACCCGAGCCUAGCCUCGGACUCGGGCAGCCGACCUCGAGGGACUUCCGUCUCGCCCGAGGCCCCCCUUUUAACGGCGGACACAUCUCCGGCUCGCCCGAGGCCUUGGCUUUGCUAAGAAGCAACCCUGACUAAAUCGCCGCACCGACUGACCGAGUUGCAGGGGCAUUUAACGCAAAGGUGGCCUGACACCUCUAUCCUGACGCGCGCCCCCCGGCAGAGCCGAAGUGACCGCCGUCACUCCGCUGCUGCACUGGCCGGUCUGACAGAAGGACAGCGCCGCCUGCGCCACUCCGACGGCAGUGCCGCUCGACAGAGUGAGUCUGACAGGCAGUCAGGCCUCGCCAGGGGCGCCAUAGGGAACUCCGCUCCGCCCGACCCCAGGGCUCGGACUCGGGCUAAGACCCGGAAGACGGCGAACUCCGCUCCGCCCGACCCCAGGGCUCGGACUCGGGCUAAGACCCGGAAGACGGCGAACUCCGCUCCGCCCGACCCCAGGGCUCGGACUCGGGCUAAGACCCGGAAGACGGCGAACUCCGCUCCACCCGACUCCAGGGCUCGGACUCGGGCUAAGACCCGGAAGACGGCGAACUCCGCUCCGCCCGAACCCAGGGCUCGGACUCGGGCUAAGACCCGGAAGACGGCGAACUCUGCUCCGCCCGACCCCAGGGCUCGGACUCGGGCUCGGCCCUGGAAGACGACGAACUCCGCCUCGCCCGACCCCAGGGCUCGAACUCCGCCCUGGCCUCUGCCGAACGACUUCCGCCUCGCCCGACCCAGGGGCUCGGACUCGGCCUCGGCAACGGAAGACAGAUUCGACCCCAGCUUCGGAGGAGCCCCCACGUCGCCCCGCCUCGGGCGCGGGCCCGCCACGUCAACAGGGAGCGCCAUCACCACUCUACCCCGAGCCGACUCGGGCCGUAGAGAACAAGACCGGUGUCCCAUCUGACCAGCUCCGCCAGAUAGGCAAUGAUGGCGCCUCCCAAGCUCUAUGACGGCGGCGGCUCUCAGCUCUCUUAUGGAAGCAGGUGGACGUCAGCAAGGACUCGACCGCUCCGACAGCUGUCCUUCCGCCAAGCUCCGUUGCUCCUCCGACAGCCACGACAUCACGCCAGCAGGGUGCCAAGAUCUCUCCGGCUGCCACAUUGGCAUGUACUUAGGGCGCUAGCUCUCCCUCCGCUAGACACGUAGCACUCUGCUACACCCCCCAUUGUACACCUGGAUCCUCUCCUUACGACUAUAAAAGGAAGGACCAGGGCCUUCUUAGAGAGGGUUGGCCGCGCGGGACCGAGGACGGGACAGGCGCUCUCUUGGGGCCGCUCGCUUCCCUCACCCGCGUGGACGCUUGUAACCCGCCUACUGCAAGCGCACCCGACCUGGGCGCGGGACGAACACGAAGGCCGCGGGACUUCCACCUCUCUCACGCCCGUCUCCGGCCACCUCGCCUCUCCCCCCUUCGCGCUCGCCCACGCGCUCGACCCAUCUGGGCUGGGGCACACAGCACACUCACUCGUCGGCUUAGGGACCCCCCGGUCUCGAAACGCCGACAGGGUUGCACAUAUGUGUAUGUCAAUCCGGUGAGGUCCACCCUCGUAAACCCGGCCUGUUGGUCUACACCCAUGUAUAUCAAGUUAUAAGGAAGAGAUUUACCCCCCAGAUGUGCUUUUGUGAUGGUAUUAUUCUGCUACAGUUUUCAGACAUUGUUUUUUAUCUAAACCCACCCAUACAGUUCCCACCCUUGCUGGUAUGAUGACAUCCGAAUUGAGUAAGCCAGGCUUGCAGUUCAGGACCCUCUACUGCUACAAGGGGUCCAGCAACCUGCGGGUCCGGUCCUAUAGAAUGGGCGCUCGCUUCCUGGAGUGGUCCGGAGCUGUGUAGCCUCUUAGCCUAGUCCCGUACCCUAAGCCUGCACCUCCACCACUCUGCAACGGGUACCCUAGUAUUUGGGGCUGUGAUCCCAUAGGUCCGAGCAUAAGGCUUGGCUUCCCAGGCUAAAUCCUGCAGGUCCUAUUGCAUGAAUCAAAGGAUGGCAGGUACCAGACGAUGGGUUCUAUAUGUGUGCUACUAACACUUCAAGGCCGAAGCUGUGUGCAGGUCCAGGUCCCCGUCCAGAGGUAGGUAGUCUCAAACUGUAGAGACUACCCCCUAGGGGUCAGACCACCAACUUUUUCUUUGGUGUACUGGUAUCCAGCCUCGACACGUCGAGCCUACAUCCCAGGGGGCCAAGUACCAGGGAGAAGUUGGUAACGCUACACAUAGCGAUGACAAAUAACAUACAGAUAAGUACUAAUACUGCUUGAUUAAUGGUUCUCAACAGUAUGUUACACUACCAAAAGUUAUUACAAGCCGCUCCCCAGUGGGACCCUUGCCUUGUUUCUGUAGAUUUGGCUACUCAUCAUCAGCAGGAUCCCGCUGGAAGCGCUCGGCCAACAGCUCCACGGCGUCUUGUACGCCCUCCCGGGCGGCGUCUUCAGCAGCGGCUACCGGACCAGCGAUCAUCGGCUCCAAGGAUAUGGCCGGGUCGUGACUACGGAAGCACGUCAAGAUAUAUUCGAUCACCGCCCGGCAGAGCCUGCCGCCCUCUGCCUCCAGGCGGGCUCCAAGAAUCUUGUCCAGGCAUCGGAGACGAUCGACGGCGGAGUUCAGUAGCGGGAGCACGUCGGAGAUAGACGUCGGCAGCUCCGACACCGGGAUGGGACUUGUCGGGGACCAUAAUUAGGGGUACCCUCAAGGCUCCUAAUUCUCAGCUGGUAACCCCCAUCAGCAUAAAGCUGCAAAGGCCUGAUGGGUGCGACUAAGUCAGGGAUCAGUCCAUUCAAGCGACUCAAUCACGCCUCGCCCGAGCCUAGCCUCGGACAAGGGCAGCCGACCCCAGAGGAUUUCCGUCUCGCCCGGGGCCCCCCUCCAAUGACGAACAUAUUUUCGGCUCGCCCGAGGCCCUGCCUUCGCUAAGAAGCAACCCUAACCAAAUCGCCGCACCAACCGACCAAAUCGCAGGAGCAUUUAAUGCAAAGGUGGCCUGACACCUUUAUCAUGACGUGCCCCCCCAGCCGACAGAGCCGAAGUGACCGCCGUCACUUCGCCGCUCCACUGACCGGCCUGACAGAAGGACAGCGCCGCCUGCGCCACUCCGACUGCGGUACCACUUGACAGAGUGAGGCUGACAGGCAGUCAGGCCCGGCCGAAGGCACCAUAGGAAGCUCCGCUUCGCCCGACCCAGGGCUCGGACUCGGGCUAAGUCCCGGAAGACGGCGAACUCCGCUCCGCCCGACCCAGGGCUCGGACUCGGGCUCAGCCCCAGAAGACGACGAACUCCGCUCCGCCCGACCUAGGGCUCGGACUCGGGCUCAGCCCCAGAAGACGACGAACUCCGCUCCGCCCGACCCAGGGCUCGGACUCGGGCUAAGUCCCGGAAGACGGCGAACUCCGCUCCGCCCGACCCAGGGCUCGGACUCGGGCUAAGUCCCGGAAGACAGCGAACUCCGCUACGCCCGACCCAGGGCUCGAACUCGGGCUCAGCCCCAGAAGACGACGAACUCCGCUUCGCCCGACCCCAGGGCUCGGACUCCGCCCUGACCUCAGCUGACGGCCUCCGCCUCGCCCGACCCAGGGGCUCGGACUCGACCUCGGCCACGGAAGACAGACUCGACCUCGGCUUCGGAGGAGGUUCCACAUCGCCCAACCUAGGGCGCAGACCAGCCACGUCAACAGGAGGCGCCAUCAUCGCCCUACCCCGAGCUGACUCGGGCCGCAGGAAACAAGACCGGUGUCCCAUCUGGCUCGCUCCGCCAGAUAGGCAAUGAUGGCGCCCCGCAUACUCUGUGAAGACGGCGGCUCUCAGCCCCCUUACGGAAGCAAGAGGACGUCAGCAAGGACUCAACCGCUCCAACAGCUGUCCCUCCGCCAGGCUCCAUCGCUCCUCCGACGGCCACGACAUCACACCAGCUGGGUGCCAAAAUCUCUCCGGCUGCCACGACGGCAUGUACUUAGGGCGCUAGCUCUCCUCCGCUAGACACGUAGCACUCUGCUACACCCCCCAUUGUACACCUGGAUCCUCUCCUUACGCCUAUAAAAGGAAGGACCAGGGCCCUCUUAGAGAGGGUUGGCCGCGCGGGGACGAGGACGAGACAGGCGCUCGCUUGGGGCCGCUCGCUCCCUCUCCCGCGUGGACGCUUGUAACCCCCUACUGCAAGCGCACCCGACCUGGCCGCGGGACGAACACGAAGGCCGCGAGAUUCCCACCUCUCUCACGCCGGUCUCCGGCCGCCUCGCUCUCCCCCCUUCGUGCUCGCCCUCGCGCUCGACCCAUCUGGGCUGGGGCACGCGACGACAUUCACUCGUCGGCCCAGGGACCCCCCGGUCUCGAAACGCCGACAGUUGGCGCGCCAGGUAGGGGCCUGCUGCGUGUUGACGAACAGCUUCCCGUCAAGCUCUAGAUGGGCAGUCUGCAGCAACCUCUCUAACCCGGGACGGUGCUCCGUUUCGGGAGUCUUGAGUUCAUGUCCCUCGACGGCAGCUACGACAUGAUACUCCUUCCACCGCCGCGCGACAACGACAAUGGCGGCCGACAGCCCACCCGCUGGCGGCGGAAUCGACGACGUCUUCCCCGCGUGGUGGAAGAACAACCUUUGAGCUCAUCCUGCCCUUUCCCUCGCCGACGGAGGGGAAGGCAGGGCAACCAAGGCCAAGCAGGAGGCAGCGCCUCGUCGGCUGUCGAGCGAGUCGACAGUGCCGGCACCCCAACGAGGGGCGCACCGGGUAUCGACUUCGCGCUUGAGACGAAGACGAGCGCCGUCUCCCCGCGACGCGCCAAUCCCGAGCAAGCGGACGACGCCAGCACGCUCGCGGAAAGCUUGCUGGACGUCACCCUCGUACCUGAGACGACGGUGCAGUCAGUCCCCGACGUGACUUUAUCGCCGCUCGUCGACCAAGAGGUACCGACCGACUCCCAUCCCACGUCAUUAGGAUUCAGCCUCAACCGCCUAGCGACCUCGCUUUGGCGGGCGCUCUCGUAGAGGCGAGUCCAAACCCUCUGGGGUUUCGCAUGCGGUCGCCUUGGGACCGGCUGACGGACGUCUCGACCUACGGGCCCUCUGGGUCCGAGGAAGACGACGAGCCCAACAUCUGUUGGGAUUUCUCUGGACUUGGCAACCCCGGUGCCAUGCGGGACUUCAUGACCGCAUGUGACUACUGCCUCUCCGACUGUUCCGACGGUAGCCGCAGCCUCGGCGACGAGGACUACGGCCCAAGCCGCAAAUGUUUCCACGUCGAUCUAGGGGGUCCCUCCGAAGGCAAUCAUCUCGGCAUGCCGGAGGACGGUGAUCUCCCUAGGCCAGUGCCCCGCGUUGACAUCCCACGGGAGCUAGCUGUGGUCCCCGUUCGGGCGGGGGGCCAUGACCCACAGCUCGAGCAAAUCCGCGGGGUGCAGGCCAGGCUCGACGAGGGAGCAGGGGCGCUUGAGCUGAUCCGCCGGGACGUCGGGCAGGCAUGGGCGGGCCAACCCCCGGCCGGAGAAAUACGUCAUCUGCCCCAGGGCUUCCAGCACCGCGUCGCCGACGAUGUCAGGGUCAGGCCGCCACCCGCAUCUAGUGGGGUCGGCCAGAACCUAGCUGCAGCCGCGAUGCUUCUCCGCGCGAUGCCGGAGCCAUCAACCACCGAGGGCCGGUGAAUCCAGGGGGAACUCAAGAAUCUCCUGGAAGGCGCCGCGGUCCGACGGGCCGAGAGCUCUGCCUCCCGAAGGCAGGGAUACCCCUCGGAACCUCAUGUCGCGACUUCCCGAUUCAUGCGGGAAGCCUCGGUCUACACCGGGCGCACGCGCAACACCGCGCCUACGGCCCCGGGCCGCCUCGGCAACGAGCACCAUCACCGCGACCGUCGGGCCCACCUCAACGAGAGGGUGCGCCGAGGCUACCACCCCAGGCGUGGGGGACGCUAUGACAGCGGGGAGGAUCGGAGUCCCUCGCCCGAACCACCCGGUCCGCAGGCCUUUAGCCAGGCCAUCCGACGAGCCACAGUUCCCGACCCGGUUCCGACCCCUGACUACUAUCACAAAGUACUCGGGGGAGACGAGACCGGAACUGUGGCUCGCGGACUAUCGUCUGGCCUGCCAACUGGGUGGAAUGGACGAUGACAACCUCAUCAUCCGCAACCUCCCCCUGUUCCUCUCCGACAUCGCUCGCGCCUGGUUGGAGCACCUGCCUCCGGGGCAGAUCUCCAACUGGGACGACCUGGUCCAAGCUUUCGUCGGCAAUUUCCAGGGCACGUACAUGCGCCCCGGGAAUUCCUGGGACCUCCGAAGCUGCUGGCAGCAGCCGGGAGAGUCUCUCCGGGACUACAUCUGGCGAUUCUCGAAGCAGCGCACCGAGCUGCUCAACAUCACCGACUUGGAUGUCAUCGGCGCGUUCCUCGCCGGCACCACCUGCCGAGACCUGGUGAGCAAGUUGGGUCGCAAGACCCCCACCAGGGCAAGCGAGCUGAUGGACAUCGCCACCAAGUUCGCCUCCGGUCAGGAGGCGGUCGAGGCUAUCUUCCGAAAGGACAAGCAGCCCCAGGGCCGCCCAUCGGAAGAUGCUCCCGAGGCGUCAACUCAGCGCGGCGCCAAGAAGAAAGGCAAGAAGAAGUCGCAAGCGAAACGCGACGCCGCCGACGCGGACCUUGUCGCCGCCGCCGAGUACAAGAACCCUCGGAAACCCCCCGGAGGUGCCAACCUCUUCGACAAGAUGCUCAAGGAGCCAUGCCCCUAUCAUCAGGGGCCCGUCAAGCACACCCUUGAGGAGUGCGUCAUGCUUCGGCGCCACUUCCACAGGGCCGGGCCACCCGCGGAGGGUGGCAGGGCCCGCGACGAUGACAAGAAGGAAGAUCACCAAGCAGGAGAGUUCCCCGAGGUCCGUGACUGCUUCAUGAUCUACGGUGGGCAAGCGGCGAAUGCCUCGGCUCGGCACCGCAAGCAAGAGCGCCGGGAGGUCUGCUCGGUGAAGGUGGCGGCGCCAGUCUACCUAGACUGGUCCGACGAGCCCAUCACCUUCGACCAAGCCGACCACCCCGACCACGUGCCGAGCCCGGGGAAAUACCCGCUCGUCGUCGACCCUGUCAUCGGCGACGUCAGGCUCACCAAGGUCCUCAUGGACGGAGGCAGCAGCCUCAACAUCAUCUACGCCGAGACCCUCGGGCUCCUGCGUGUCGAUCUGUCCUCCGUCCGAGCAGGCGCUGCGCCCUUCCAUGGGAUCAUUCUCGGGAAGCGCGUCCAGCCCCUCGGACAACUCGACCUUCCCGUCUGCUUCGGAACACCCUCCAACUUCCGAAGGGAGACCCUGACGUUUGAGGUGGUCGGGUUCCGAGGAACCUACCACGCGGUACUGGGAAGACCAUGCUACGCGAAGUUCAUGGCCGUCCCCAACUACACCUACCUGAAGCUCAAGAUGCCGGGCCCCAACGGGGUCAUCACCGUUGGCCCCACGUACAAACACGCGUUCGAAUGCGACGUGGAGUGCGUGGAGUACGCCGAGGCCCUCGCCGAGUCCGAGGCCCUCAUCGCUGACCUGGAAAGCCUCUCUAAGGAGGUGCCAGACGUGAAACGUCACGCCAGCAACUUAGAGCCAGUGGAGACGGUUAAGGCCGUCCCCCUCGGCCCCAGCGGCGACGCCUCCAAGCAGAUCCGGGUCGGCUCCGGGAUCGAACCCAAAUAGGAAGCAGUGCUCGUCGACUUCCUCUGCGCGAACGCCGACGUCUUCGCGUGGAGUCCCUCGGACAUGCCCGGCAUACCGAGGGAUGUCGCCGAGCAAUCGCUGGACAUUCGAGCCGGAGCCCGACCUGUCAAGCAGCCUCUGCGCUGAUUCGAUGGGGAGGAGCGCAGAGCCGUAGGCGAGGAGGUCCACAAGCUAAUGGCGGCAAAGUCCAUCAAAGAAGCGAAAGGCGUCAAGCUCAACCCCGAAAGGUGGGUCUUCGGGGUGCCCCAGGGCAUGGUCUUGGGGUUCAUCGUCUCCAAGCGGGGCAUCGAAGCCAACCCGGAGAAGAUCGCGACCAUCGCACAGCACCCCGAGCCCUUGUUCGGGGCACCCGGGGGCUACACACACCCCCGGGAAAGGCUGCUUGUCAUCGCCAAAGUUCUGAAGCCCGGAACGUACAAGCUGGCCAACAGUCAAGGCGAGGUCCACGGCAACGCUUGGAACAUCCGACAGCUACGUCGCUUCUACCCUUAAGAUGUUUUCAAGUUGUUUGUAUACCUCGCUCCCACACAAGUCUUAGUCGUCAAGGAAGGGUCAGCCUCGCCUCGGCAGAGCCCGACCCUCCCUCGGGGGCUAAAAAGGGGGGAACCCCUCUGCGUCAGGAUUGGGGAACCUCUCCGCAUCCAAAAUUUUCGAUCAAAAAGGCUUUUGCGUUCCCCCGGCUAUGUCAGAAGCAGGGCCCCAGGAGCGAAUGUGGGUGCAUGUAAGUGGCAAGGCCGACUGAGCCGAGGGACUCCUAUGCCUCCGGGUUAGGGACACCUCACUCGUCACCCGCCACGAAAAGUGACCCCUACUUGGGGAAGCCACCCUGUUACUAACAGGCAAAGCCGGACACACAAAAUAAAAGGAAAAGGAGUACGACUUCAUGCAACGGUAACAAAGUGUUCAGGCCUCAGCGGCCGUAGAAAGACACACGCGCAUCCAACAGAAAUUGUUCCAACAGAGUUAGGCGUCGCCUUGGGAAGGAGCCGCGCCUUCAGCUCCGUCCCCACCUUCGGCAAAGUCCAUCUCGGCUUCCGGCGACGGCGCAGGUGGGAGGAUCUCCGCCUCGAAGGUGGUCGCCAGCACUGCGCUCGGACCCACGGCGACCGCAUCGAGCCGCUGGACUUCUGCCAGGGCGGCUUCAUCUUCGUCGGGAAGGCAAUACCCCUCGCUAACCCGCUCCAGGUCCACAAUGUAGUGGGAAGCGAGCACGGCGAAGGCCCGCCUGACGCCGUCUUGUAGCGCCUCGCGGAGUCUGCCGCGCACAUGAUCGCCCAAGGCUUGAAGGCGACUUUGAGGGGAGCUUCUUGAGGGGACGUCGCCGGAGCCAAGGACCCGGUAAACGUCCGAGACGGCCUCGGACAUGGCCGCAUGGUCGGCCUCCCUCUGCUCGGCCGCCCCGGCAAGCACCUUGGCGGACUCAUCAAGGGCGGACUCGAGCUCUGCGAACAGCCAGAAGAAAGAUGUCAAACACAAGCAGAGGAAACAAGCAGGAACGAAAACCAAGGAUGGCCAAGGCGUACCUCCGGCUCGGGCACGCUGCUCCGAGGCUGCAACCUGGGCUACGGCUAAGUCGGCCGCAAGGGUUUCGGCCCGGCCUUCGGCCUCGGCAGCCCGGCCCCGAGAUUGUGUCACACCCAGCUUUAAGGAACAAAGCCAGGUGCAUCUCAUACAUGCGCCAAGAAGACAACAUAUAUAAUAACAGAGUGUUUAGAGAUAAAUGUCAUAAAACAUCAGAGUAUUUAUUACAUAGCGGAAGACUUAUUACACCUAGAUCAGAUCAUACUCCUCGCCUUGUGGCUCCUCCUGAACCACCUGCUCUUCUCCUGUGGGGGGGGGGGGUGUGAGACAGCAAGGGUGAGCUCACACAUGAUCAUCGCUCUACAAGUUGUGGGGAAUAAUGUGACAUGAACUCACCAAAGGUGGGAGCUCAUGGAGUGUAAGGCUUAUCAAAGAGAAUGGUUAAAGCUGAGCAUUGCUUUUAAUCUUGGUCAAACUUUUAUUAGCAGUUACUAAGUGUAAGUAAAUACCAAACCUUAAGUAAAGUAAUAGAACAAAAUUAAUAAUAAACCCAUGCAUAUGCAAAUGACAAAAUUGAAUUUAGGUUCCAUAAAUUAAUCAUCAGAGAGUCCUGAGCCGCUCAUGACUGUGAGCUCGGCUAGUAUACCAGUUUUACACUCUGCAGAGGUUGUACCCUUUACCCACAAGUCGUGUAUCCCAUGUCGCCAGGGUUAGCUAGGCCCUUAGACACUACCGAGGUGAAUGGCUGGGGAUCCACUACGAGGCCUUUACAAAGUUCCACUAGCUUCCGAAAACCCGCUACAGUUUAUGGGAAGAACACUUGCAAGAAUCCCCCGUCCGACCGCCAUCGCAGCUAAAUCAACCCGAGAACCUCCUUGCAUGCAACUCCCCUACUGCCCUUGCCCCUUUCGGGUAAGGUAGUCUUCCACUAGCUUUCCUAAUUAAUCAGCCAAGGGCGUCCAUAAACCCUUGUGGUGGCACGUGUUUCUCAAGUUAAGCUCUAUGUUCCAAUUAACAUUAAUGAUCUUGACAUGAACAUAAAUAGAAUAACAAAAGAAUUGGAACAUAGAUAUAAUAAAUGAUUAUCCCAAAACCAUGUAAAGCAAUAGCAAAGCUACCCAAGUGAUUCAGGGGUAAACAAGGUAAUGAGAUAAACAAUCUAGGGUGACCUAUUGGGUCCCAUCAAAAUUAACCUAUGCAUGGAUAAAUGAUAUUAAAGAACAUUAUUGGGUAAAAAGUGGUCAAGGGCACAACUUGCCUUCAAUGAGCUCCUGCUCAGCUACUUCAACCUGCUGCUCACCAGGAUCCUCAGCAACGGGCUCUUCUACUCGCCACAAUACAAACAAGCACAGUGCAUAUAGAGAAAUUAACAUCACACCAAACAUGUAAACAAAAUACACAGAAAUAUUCUACACAUUAAAAUAAAAUCCUAGGAACAGGAAUCAUAAUUUUUCGAGUUAUGGAUAUUAAGUUAUGAAUUUUCAGAGGUCUUAUGUGUUUAAGAAUAGGAUUAAGUGAGAAAUAAAUUUCUUACUGUUUUCAUGACAGAACAGAGGCUCUAGGUGAUAGAGAAUAAAACUACAAAAUUUUAGGAACUGGAAUGGAGUAAUUUGGAGUUCAUAUGCAUUUUCUAUGAAUUAUUGAAGUUCUAGCAACUAUUUUCUUAUUAAAAAUCUAUUUUCUAUUUCAUUUAUUCAAUUUAAACGAUCUCUGGACUGGGCCUCAAAUCCAGAUAAAACCAGGGGCUAUUCUACAACUAAUCCUGAGACUCAUAGCACUGUUGCUCUGGAUGGCGGGUUGUUUUCACGGAAACAGGAGGUCUCUUUUGCAAAAGAUACCCGCGAAGGGGUACGGUGCAAUCUGGGCCGUCCGAUUAGAUCCAAACGAUCCAGAUUAGACCAGCGUGCUGCGAAUCGGUAUGCAAUCAGGGGCGUUGGGUCCCGAUCCGACGGUGUGGAUUUAAUGCACACCGAUCUCACCCGCGCCACCCGAUCUAACUUCAAUGCCCUGGAUCGAUUCCCCCUGAACCGGUAACUCAUGACUAAUCAAGGCCAUUGACUCUGGAUCCGACGACCGAGAAUGACUCGCCCCAAACAGACCGGACCACGGCGGCGCACCAACCAUCCACGACGGAGCACUCGCCCUUCCAGUGACCCACUGUCGACGCCCAGAGCUCCCAAACUAAAAUUAAUAGGUCCCGACGCAAACUAUAAAGGAAAGGGAGCUGGGCCAUGGCCUUACCCGCACUGGAAGGUAGCAGAGGUCACCGGCUACGGCGCGGAUGGCUUCACGGCGGCACCGAAGUCGUCGACGAGAAAUUCCGGGGCACCAGAGGAUCUUCCGCGCCCCCCAAUCGCAAGAACAGCCCGCCCGUCGGUUGGACACGCCGGUGUUGGCCAGGGAACCACAGACUGCUUGUGAAUCGUGGGCUUUGCCUCCAAUGCCCGCGGCGACGUGCUCUCCAUUCAUACGGCGAGCACACGAUGGCGUAGUUCUUAUACCCAGGAUCAAGCCCGAAUUCCAGGGGAAUUGUUCAACGAAGCGCGUGAUGCGUGUGGUUUGUUACAGAGGAACGAAGAAGGGGGAUGACAGGUGGGGUCAUGGGUGCAGUGACCUGCGCGCGAGGUGGAUGACUGACGAGCGGGUCCCACAUGGCAGUUGGCCGGGCGCGCGCGUGUAACUGACCGACCGGGCCCGGCUGGCAGCGCAGCGGAAAGCGUGCGCGCGACAGUCUGCUGGUGUUUUGGGCCGCGCGGGUGUAAAACGAGAGUGGGCCAAAAUAGGAGUCUGCAGCCCAUUUAAGGUUUUAUUCUUUUUCUUUUAUCUUUUCUUUCUAUUUUCUUCAUUUCUAAGGUUUAGUUUGAAUUCGAAUUUUGUGCUAAUUUCCUUCUCAUUUAUUUGUGUGAAGUUAAACUAGCAAUUUUAGAGAUAUAAUUUAGAUAUGAUAUAUAUUUUAUAUCCUCUCUCUUCUUCCCAUGUUAUAAAACCCUAGUUUUAAUUUAGGGUUUGGUUUUACUUCUAGCAUUUAUUAUCUUAUUAUCCUUAUUAUUUUUAUUUAAUGCACAAACAUGUAAAACUCCAACAUGAUGCAAUUUAGUUUAUUUUAGAAUCAUUGGCUUUAAUUAAUUACUCUCAAAUAUUUGGGUGCUCUUUUUAUGAUGCAAAUAAGGCACAUAAAAUGAGGAAUUCACUCUGUAUUCUGUAUACACAAACUUGAGUAUUACAAAUCCUACCCCCCUUAAAAAUAAUCUCGUCCUCGAGAUUUAAGAAGACCUAGGGAAAAGAUGGGGAAAAUCUAUGCGAAGCUCUUCUUCUCUUUCCCAAGUUGCUUCAUCUUCGCCAUGGUGACUCCAUUGGACUUUGCACAUCUUUAUCACCUUAUUUCUUGUAACUCGAGUCAAUGUAUCCAAAAUCUUGAUUGGGUACUCCGUGUAAGUCAAAUCACCUUGAACACUGAGCUCUUCCAUGGGUAACUGUUCCUCAGGAACACGGAGACACUUCUUUAGUUGAGAUACGUGGAACAUGUUAUGCACAUCCGAUAGGCUAUCCGGUAACUCAAGUUGGUAUGCCAUCUCCCCAACUCGCCUAAAGAUCAAGAAUGGUCCAAUAUAGCGAGGGGACAAUUUGCCCUUAACUUUGAAUCUCCUCAUGCCACGAAGUGGUGACACCUUGAGGUACACAUAAUCUCCUUCCUCAAAUUCCAGUGGUCUCCUUCUAUUAUCAGCAUAGCUCUUUUGUCUGGUUUGCGCCACCCUCAAAUUCUCCCGAAUUAUACGGACUUGCUCUUCUGCUUCUUGAAUAAGUUCAGGCCCAAAGAAUUGUCUUUCUCCAGUUUGAUCCCAAUACAGAGGAGUCCUGCACUUCCUCCCAUAUAAAGCCUCAAAAGGUGACAUCUUCAGACUGGCCUGAUAACUAUUAUUAUAUGAGAACUCAGCAUAUGGUAGACUUUUAUCCCAACUUCCUCCAUGCUGAAGGGCACAUGCUCUCAACAUAUCUUCCAAUACUUGAUUAGUCCUUUCAGUCUGUCCAUCAGUCUGAGGGUGAUAAGCUGUACUGAAAUUCAACUUUGUACUCAUAUUCUCAUGAAAGCUUCUCCAAAAUCUUGAGGUAAACUGCGAACCUCGAUCAGACACGAUCUUCUUUGGUACUCCAUGCAAACACACAAUCCGAGCCAUAUAUAACUCUGCUAGUUGAGAACCUUUAUAAGUAGUCUUGACAGGAAUAAAGUGAGCCACUUUAGUCAACCUAUCCACAAUCACCCAUAUAGCAUCAUAUCCUUUCUGGGUGCGAGGCAAUCCAGUAAUAAAAUCCAUACCAAUCUCUUCCCAUUUACACUCAGGUAUCUUCAGUGGAUGCAGUAGUCCGGCUGGCCUCUGGUGUUCAGCCUUAACUCUUUGACAUACGUCGCACAUAGCCACAUGUGCAUCUACAUCUCUUUUCAAUCCAUACCACCAAUACUUCUGUUUCAAAUCCUGAUACAUCUUAGUACUACCAGGAUGAAUAGAAUAGUCCGAGUCAUGGGCCUCCUUUAAAAUAGUCUCUCGAAGGCUUUCAAUAUCAGGAACACAUAUCCUGUCCUUGAACCAAACAGUGCCUUGCUCAUCUUUCGUGAAUUCCGGAACUCGACCCACAGUAAUCAGAUCCUUAAUUUCUUUUAUUUUAGCAUCAUCAAGUUGACCUUUGCGGAUUUCUUGCUCCAAUGUAGGUUCCACAUCAAUAAUAACUCCUUUAGUAUGAGCAACUAUCCCCAGGUUGAGUCUCCUGAAGUCCUCAACAAUCUCAUCAGGUAGCUGGGCAACAAUAGCUGAAUGAACAUGCUCCUUGCGACUCAAGGCAUCUGCAACCAAAUUUGCCUUGCCCGGGUGAUAGUGAAUCUCCAAAUCAUAAUCCUUAAUAAGCUCCAACCAACGGCGUUGCCUAAGGUUGAGAUCCUUCUGAGUGAAUAUAUACUUCAAACUCUUAUGAUCCGUAUAUACUUGGCACUUGGUCCCCAUGAUAUAGUGUCUCCAAAUCUUAAGCGCAUGCACAACGGCUGCCAAUUCCAAGUCAUGAGUGGGGUAGUUCAAUUCAUGUUUCCGUAACUGACGAGACGCAUAGGCAAUCACAUGUCCUUCUUGCAUAAGCACACAUCCUAAGCCUUGGCCACAUGCAUCACAAUAGAUAUCAAAUCCUUUCUGUAGGUCGGGCAUAACCAAUACUGGUGGCGACAUCAAUCUUUUCUUCAAUUGAUCAAAGCUGUCUUGACACUUCUCGUCCCACUUAAAUUCUCUUCCUUUCUCCAAAAGCGAAGUCAUAGGCUUAGCAAUCUUAGAAAAUCCUUCAAUAAAUCUCCGAUAAUAUCCUGCUAAUCCCAAGAAACUCCGAAUCUCAGUAACUGUAGUGGGUACUCUCCACUCCAUUAUCUCCUUAACUUUAGCAGGAUCCACUGAAAUUCCUCCAUUAGAAAUAAUAUGACCAAGAAAUGGCACCUCGCCAAUCCAAAACUCGCACUUGCUAAACUUGGCAUAUAGCUGGUUAUCUCGUAGCUUCUGCAGCACCAAUCUCAGAUGUUCCUGAUGAUCGCUAUCACUCUGGGAAUAAAUAAGAAUGUCGUCGAUGAACACCACGACGAAUCUAUCCAAGUACUCCAUAAACACCUUAUUCAUCAAGUUCAUAAAAUAAGCUGGUGCAUUGGUUAAUCCAAACGACAUAACCGUAAACUCAUAUAAUCCAUAUCGAGUCGAGAAAGCCGUCUUGGGAAUAUCCGAUGGUCUAAUCCUCAUCUGAUGGUAACCAGAUCGGAGAUCAAUCUUCGAGAAUACUCUAGCACCUCUCAUUUGAUCAAAUAGAUCCUCAUUACGGGGCAACGGAUACUUGUUCUUCACAGUGACAUCAUUAAGAGAUCUAUAAUCCACACACAUCCGUUGUGAUCCAUCCUUCUUCUGUACAAACAGAACCGACGCUCCCCAAGGUGAGGAACUCGGACGAAUGUACCCGGCCUCUUGUAACUCAGUUAACUGCUUCUUAAGUUCCUUUAACUCUUCUACGGACAUCCUGUAUGGCCGUUUAGAAAUAGGGGCAGUUCCAGGUAAGAGAUCAAUAACAAACUCAACUUCUCUAUCAGGUGGCAUCCCUGGUAACUCCUCUGGAAAGACAUCCGGAAAAUCUCUAACCACCCGGAUGUUGUCACCAACAAACUCCUCAGGUAUAAAGAACAUUGCACGCAUGGAUGAGGAGGUUACUGCAAUAUUAACUUGAAAUCUUUCUCCUUUAGUGGUAGUGAGUUCUACGGUACCUCUACCACAUGCUAUAACGGCCUUUGCCUUUCUUAACCAUGACAUACCAAGGAUCAGAUCUAUACUGCUUGACUCUAAUAUUAUAGCAGUAGCUCCAAAUUCUCUACCCAUAAUGGUCAAUGUCAAUCUACGUGUCAUUUGAUUCGCCUCAACAGGCCCUUUAGGUGUAAUUACUAUCAUUGGUUUUCUCAUAUUUAGCAGUGGUAUUUCAUUUGUGUUGGCAUAUCUAGCAGACAAAAAUGAAUGUGUAGCACCAGAAUCAAAUAAGAUGGUUGCAGGAAUAGCAUUAACAUAAAACAUACCAAGCACGAUGUCAGCACCAUCUGGAGUAGCAUCAACGCUGACUUGAUUAACCUUGGUAAUAGAAUAUCCCUUGCCAGAUCCUGGAGUUUGCUGCCUGUUCUGAACUGGAGUAGUAGCAAUCCUCUGUGGGCAGACAUUUGCAUAGUGACCAGUCUUCCCACACUUGUAACAAGUAGUGCCUGGACUCUGUCCUGAAAACUUCGUCGGGGUGCCGGUAGGGGUAGCCUGUCGAGGAGGUGGAGUCCUCAAAGGUGAUUGCUGAAUUGGGCGCUGGCCUCCGCCAGUGCGAACUGGUGUACCCUGGGGUGAACUGUAGCGAGGUCGAACACUGCUGCUUCCUUGUCCUUGAGAUAUAGCCUUUCUCUUCAAAUCUCCCAGCUGAACACGCUUGUGUUCAAUAGCCAGGGCCUUAUCAAGCAGCCUCUGAAAUGAUGGAAAUGUAUGUGCCACUAGAGCAUACUGCAGUGGUCCAUUAAGUCCUUCAAUAAAAUGCUCCUGCUUCCUCUCAUCUUCAGCAACUUCAUCAGGGGCAUAUCUGGAUAACUGGAUAAACUUGUCGUGGUACUCGCUGACUGUCAUGCUUCCUUGCUUCAGCGAUAGAAAUUCCUUCUUCUUAAUCUUCAUCAAUCCAGGUGGUAUAUGAUAAUUCCUGAACUGUGUACUGAACUCUGCCCAAGUGAUAGUAUCAGCAGCAUCGUGGGCGGCAGUAUAUGAAUCCCACCAGUCAGCAGCAGGACCUGUCAGACGUCCAGAAGCAUAUAAAACCUUCUCCCGGUCAGUACAUUAUGCAAUAUUCAGCAUCUUCUCAACGGACUUCAGCCAAUCAUCCGCGUCCAGUGGAUCAGGUGAGCUAGCGAAUGUAGGUGGGUUAUGACUCAUGAACUCCCUAUGCUUAUCACGGGGUGGAACUGGUGGUGGUGGUGGAGGCAGUGGUACUUGUUGCUGUUGCUGUUGCAUUUGCUGUUGUAGCUGCUGUUGUUGCGCCCUCCUUUCCUGACGUAUCUCUUCUCGUUCUUGGCGCAGCUCUCGACGUAUAUCCUCCCGCUCUUGGCGCAUCUCCUGGCGUUCCUGCUGCAUCUGAGCACGCAUAUCUGUCAUAGUGUCCGCCAUCUGUUGCAUCAUCCUCAUCUGAGCUACAACCAGUGGGUCAACUCCUGCUGGUGGAGGCGGUGGUGGAGGAUCCAUCUCUACUGGUUGUGGCUGGGGUUGUCUAAAUAUCCUCCGAAUGUGUCGAUUGGGUGGUAAAUCAAUUCCACCACCCCGCCUGGUAUUGACCAUCUGAGUUAGAUACAUAUGGUAAGAGAAUAGUAGACAAGGCAGGUAUUUACAAAUCAGGUUACUUUGGGGAAUUUUAUUAGCUAAGCAGAUUAAUAUCUUACCUACCAUAGCUAAUUCAAUACCUUAUGGUGGUACAUGCUAAGAUGUCCAUCUAUAAUAAUUCAAUCAAUCAAAGAAGCAAAUCAGGCAUUUAUCAUCAGCACAAUCAACCAAUCUUUUUUUUAAACAAAGAAAAUAGUUUUAAAUUUUGUCUUGGGUUCCCUAUCUCUUAAAAGAUCAUAGUGGUAGGAUUCCAAGGUGUGAAAUCCAUCUUGUCUUAGAAUAGAGGAGGUAAGAAUGAUCACAGUAGAACAACAAAAGGUGAGACAAGAUCAAGAUGAGAUGAGUAUAGAAUAAGUCAGAGUAAGGUAAGUAGGAAAGGGUUUGUCCAUUUCUAUCUAGGUCUCGUCCUACAGUCAACAUUUCCUCUGAUAUCACUUCUGUCACACCCGGCUUUAAGGAACAAAGCCAGGUGCAUCUCAUACAUGCGCCAAGAAGACAACAUAUAUAAUAACAGAGUGUAUAGAGAUAAAUGUCAUAAAACAUCAGAGUAUUUAUUACAUAGCGGAAGACUUAUUACAAAAUAAAAUAAUAAAUAUAAAACGAACUAAGGAUCGUUGGCGCCAAUGUCAACUGAGAAACGCCACCUAGAUCAGAUCAUACUCCUCGCCUUGUGGCUCCUCCUGAACCACCUGCUCUUCUCCUGUGGGGGGGUGUGAGACAGCAAGGGUGAGCUCACACAUGAUCAUCGCUCAACAAGUUGUGGGGAAUAAUGUGACAUGAACUCACCAAAGGUGGGAGCUCAUGGAGUGUAAGGCUUAUCAAAGAGAAUGGUUAAAGCUGAGCAUUGCUUUUAAUGUUGGUCAAACUUUUAUUAGCAGUUACUAAGUGUAAGUAAAUACCAAACCUUAAGUAAAGUAAUAGAACAAAAUUAAUAAUAAACCCAUGCAUAUGCAAAUGACAAAAUUGAAUUUAGGUUCCAUAAAUUAAUCAUCAGAGAGUCCUGAGCCGCUCAUGACCGUGAGCUCGGCUAGUAUACCAGUUUUACACUCUGCAGAGGUUGUACCCUUUACCCACAAGUCGUGUAUCCCAUGUCGCCAGGGUUAGCUAGGCCCUUAGACACUACCGAGGUGAAUGGCUGAGGAUCCACUACGAGGCCUUUACAAAGUUCCACUAGCUUCCGAAAACCCGCUACAGUUUAUGGGAAGAGCACUUGCAAGAAUCCCCCGUCCGACCGCCAUCGCAGCUAAAUCAACCCGAGAACCUCCUUGCAUGCAACUCCCCUACUGCCCUUGCCCCUUUCGGGUAAGGUAGUCUUCCACUAGCUUUCCUAAUUAAUCAGCCAAGGGCGUCCAUAAACCCUUGUGGUGGCACGUGUUUCUCAAGUUAAGCUCUAUGUUCCAAUUAACAUUAAUGAUCUUAACAUGAACAUAAAUAGAAUAACAAAAGAAUUGGAACAUAGAUAUAAUAAAUGAUUAUCCCAAAACCAUGUAAAGCAAUAGCAAAGCUACCCAAGUGAUUCAGGGGUAAACAAGGUAAUGAGAUAAACAAUCUAGGGUGACCUAUUGGGUCCCAUCAAAAUUAACCUAUGCAUGGAUAAAUGAUAUUAAAGAACAUUAUUGGGUAAAAAGUGGUCAAGGGCACAACUUGCCUUCAAUGAGCUCCUGCUCAGCUACUUCAACCUGCUGCUCACCAGGAUCCUCAGCAACGGGCUCUUCUACUCGCCACAAUACAAACAAGCACAGUGCAUAUAGAGAAAUUAACAUCACACCAAACAUGUAAACAAAAUACACAGAAAUAUUCUACACAUUAAAAUAAAAUCCUAGGAACAGGAAUCAUAAUUUUUCGAGUUAUGGAUAUUAAGUUAUGAAUUUUCAGAGGUCUUAUGUGUUUAAGAAUAGGAUUAAGUGAGAAAUAAAUUUCUUACUGUUUUCAUGACAGAACAGAGGCUCUAGGUGAUAGAGAAUAAAACUACAAAAUUUUAGGAACUGGAAUGGAGUAAUUUGGAGUUCAUAUGCAUUUUCUAUGAAUUAUUGAAGUUCUAGCAACUAUUUUCUUAUUAAAAAUCUAUUUUCUAUUUCAUUUAUUCAAUUUAAACGAUCUCUGGACUGGGCCUCAAAUCCAGAUAAAACCAGGGGCUAUUCUACAACUAAUCCUGAGACUCAGAGCACUGUUGCUCUGGACGGCGGGUUGUUUUCACGGAAACAGGAGGUCUCUUUUGCAAAAGAUACCCGCGAAGGGGUACGGUGCAAUCUGGGCCGUCCGAUUAGAUCCGAACGAUCCAGAUUAGACCAGCGUGCUGCGAACCGGUAUGCAAUCAGGGGCGUUGGGUCCCGAUCCGACAGUGUGGAUUUAAUGCACAUCGAUCUCACCCGCGCCACCCGAUCUAACUUCAAUGCCCUGGAUCAAUUCCCCCUGAACCGGUAACUCAUGACUAAUCAAGGCCAUUGACUCUGGAUCCGACGACCGAGAAUGACUCGCCCCAAACAGACCGGACCACGGCGGCGCACCAACCAUCCACGACGGAGCACUCGCCCUUCCGGUGACCCACUGUCGACGCCCCAGAGCUCCCAAACUAAAAUUAAUAGGUCCCGACGCAAACUAUAAAGGAAAGGGAGCUGGGCCAUGGCCUUACCCGCACUGGAAGGUAGCAGAGGUCACCGGCUACGGCGCAGAUGGCUUCACGGCGGCACCGAAGUCGUCGACGAGAAAUUCCGGGGCACCAGAGGAUCUUCCGCGCCCCCAAUCGCAAGAACAACCCCGCCCGUCGGUUGGACACGCCGGUGUUGGCCAGGGAACCACGGACUGCUUGUGAAUCGUGGGCUUUGCCUCCAAUGCCCGCGGCGGCGUGCUCUCCAUUCAUACGGCGAGCACACGAUGGCGUAGUUCUUAUACCCAGGAUCAAGUCCGAAUUCCAGGGGAAUUGUUCAACGAAGCGCGCGAUGCGUGCGGUCUGUUACAGAGGAACGAAGAAGGGGGAUGACAGGUGGGGUCAUGGGUGCAGUGACCUACGCGCGAGGUGGAUGACUGACGAGCGGGUCCCACAUGGCAGUUGGCCGGGCGCGCGCGUGUAGCUGACCGACCGGGCCCGGCUGGCAGCGCAGCGGAAAGCGUGCGCGCGGCAGUCUGCUGGUGUUUUGGGCCACGCGGGUGUAAAACGAGAGUGGGCCAAAAUAGGAGUCUGCAGCCCAUCUAAGGUUUUAUUCUUUUUCUUUUAUCUUUUCUUUCUAUUUUCUUCAUUUCUAAGGUUUAGUUUGAAUUCGAAUUUUGUGCUAAUUUCCUUCUCAUUUAUUUGUGUGAAGUUAAACUAGCAAUUUUAGAGAUAUAAUUUAGAUAUGAUAUAUAUUUUAUAUCCUCUCUCUUCUUCCCAUGUUAUAAAACCCUAGUUUUAAUUUAGGGUUUGGUUUUACUUCUAGCAUUUAUUAUCUUAUUAUCCUUAUUAUUUUUAUUUAAUGCACAAACAUGUAAAACUCCAACAUGAUGCAAUUUAGUUUAUUUUAGAAUCAUUGGCUUUAAUUAAUUACUCUCAAAUAUUUGGGUGCUCUUUUUAUGAUGCAAAUAAGGCACAUAAAAUGAGGAAUUCACUCUGUAUUCUGUAUACACAAACUUGAGUAUUACAGAUUGGUCCCGCUCCUUGACGACCUGGUCAAACUCCGACUGCUGUCGUUGCGCUUCAGCGCGCGCCGUGACCGCCUCCGCGCGCGCCGCUGCCGCCUCGGCUCUCAGAUCGGUGCAGAGCAACUGAAGGUCCGCUACCUCGGCACCCUGCUGAGAGAGGCGCGCAGUAGCCCCGGCGAGCGAGGUCCUCAGGGAUCGCAGCGAGCUCCAGACGUCGACCUCGCGGCGGAUGAACGACGACUUGGCGGCGCUCCGAUCCGUCAGAUCCUGAGGGAAGGAGGCGGGGCGUCACGAAAGACGCCUUGGUCACAAAAGAAAAAAAGGUAUGCUUGAAACCGUUACCUGGAGGAUUUUGGGGACGUCCCUGUAGAAAACCUCCAGCGACGACCGGAGCGACCCCACCGUUGCUUCGGCACACUCGCGGAGCUCAUCCCAGGACUGGUCCUCCCGUUCAUCGUCGAGAACGAAGACGGGAUUCGAAGCCUCCCGGGUCCGGAACCGGAGCAGCUGGCGCCGGCCCUUGGAGCUCCGCCGCACAGCGACGAGGCUGCCGCCCGGCGGGACGGAUCGCGUCUCCACGCCCCCCUCUUCCGAGGCACCGAGCGCCGACGCCUCAGCCGUCUCAACGUCGGCGGCGACCGGUCGCCCCCCAACUGGGACGGCGGCGACUUCAGUAGCGGCAGGCGCUGGCAUGGCCGGCACGUCCGGUGGGCACGGGGCCACGUCCGCGUCAGCCGCCUCCCCAAUCACAAUGGCCGCCUCAGCAGAAGAGCCAGCCUCGGGAACCCGCUCCACGGUGACUGGUGCCGCCUAGGCCCCCUGCUGCGGAGCACCUUGCGAGAAGGUCGGCUGAACGGCAAGGCCCGGAGCGGCGCUGGCCGCGCAGGCCGGCGUCGUCUUAAGGGCCUUCCGGGGUGCCAGGUCGGUCAGGCCAUGGCUGCGCUUGCUGAGGGAAAAAGAAAAAUCACGGCCGGGACAUAUGAAUGAAAAGCCACGACGAAGACAUUCCGAGAUACUUACCCGCUCCGGGCCAUGAUCAACCGUGCCUGGGGGGAGGUCUCUUGGAUCUCGACCCCCGGAACCGCCGCCGAGGUCCGCUUCGCCGGCAACUUCGGCACCACCCUUGCUUUGAACGCCCUGGACGCCCGGGGGGCGGACUGCCCAGGCACUGUCAAGGCGACCUGAGGGUCGCUCCCCUGCGCUGCCGGCGCGAGCGGCGGCUCUCGGGGUGCAGACGCCCUGGCCUGGCCCCCCGGGGUCGCCUCAGCUCCUCCAGCCGAGGGGUCAGGUACCCUCUCGGGUUGCCCCUGCCCCUCAGGCCGGGACCCCGACGUCCCGACUCCGGGGACUGACGACAUCAGCCCGCUCGGGGGCUGGCUUGACGGCUCCUGGCCAAACCCCAAGCCGGGGCUGAGGCCGAGGCGGGCGGCCAUGUCAUCCUCCUCGUCAUCAUCUUCAUCAUCGUCGUCGUCGUCGGGCGUUUCCGGUGACGGCUCCCUCGGGAGCCCCUCCCUCUCCUGCCGGCGACGAAGCUUUUCCAAGACGUCUCGAGCCCGCCUCCGCUCGCGGGCCUGGGCCUUCUCCGCGUCCUUCUUUUUCUUCUUCUCCUCCGCGGCGACCCGCCACGCUGCUCGGUCCACCGAAUCCUGCGGGACCCGUGGCAGGGAAGGCUUGUGCCACCCCACCUCCUAAAGAAGGGGGGAAAAUCCCAAUCGUAAGAACCAGGGGCAACCCGACGCAGGAGAAAGAGAGAAGCAGACACUCACCAGAGUCACGCACCCUUGGUCUGGGCGAAUCAAAAGCUGGGAGAAGGUGUGGGGGUCCGGCUUCCCCAACGUGACGAACACCCGCCCGUUGAGGACAUCGAAGGGAAGAGGAUCAGAGGACAUCCGCGAGCCCUCCAAGUCAGUCUCCGGUGUCAUCUCCCAAAGCGACAGUCGUCGCUCCGCCAAGGGAAGCACCCUCCGACGGUGGAUGGCGGCAAUCACUCCCGCAGCGGUGAGUCCCCCCUUUCGCAACGCCUCCAAGGCCUGGAGAAGGGGUUCGAGGUUCUUUUGUCUUUCGUGCGGGGUCCCGUAGCGCCAAGCAUCAGUGGCGGUGGUGACUACCCGCUGGGAGAACGGCGGGAGCAACUCGCCGUCAUUCCGGAGGUAGAACCACCGGCGCUGCCACCCCUUGUUCGAGGACGCGAGGAUGGCGGGAAUAUACAGCGACGCCCGCGACUGCCUCAGCAGGAGGGUGCAGCCGCCGGCCCGCACCGCUGCGCGGACCUUCCUCUCCCCCGUCGGCGAGGCAAAAAGCUCCGCGAAAAAGAGAUGGGUCCACAAAUCCCAAUGGGGGGCGAUCCCCAAGUACCCCUCGCACACCGCUACGAAGAUGGCGGCCUGUGAGAUGGAGUUGGGGCUGAGGUUGUGCAACUCCACCCCGUAGUGGUGCAGGAUCGCCCGCAUGAAGCGGCUCGCCGGCACACCAAAUCCCCGCUCGUGGAAGGAGACGAAGCUCACGAUGUACCCCGGUGGUGGGGACGGAGCGGCUCCGCCCACAGGGGGAAUCCAUUCCGGUCGCUGCUCGUCGGUGAGAGGGCGAAGUAAACCCUCGCCAACAAGGUCCUCCAGAUCACUCGCCGUCACCGUGGAAAAAGGCCAUGGGUCGCGCGGCGAGAUGAUAGUCACCCGGUUAGCCAUCACCAAGCGGAAGGGGUGGCGGCGCAAGGGGCAGGGAGGGCGGUUUCCUCUUCUCUGGCUAAGUCUCUCGGGUCGCGAAAACCUAAGAGGGAGGCAGGAGGCGGAGCGAAGAACCAUCACCAGACCCUCACCCGGGUAUAUAAAGACCAAGGCGAGACCGGUUCAAACGUUCCGCCCGGACCGGACGCGGGAUUCGAAAACGCAAAACGAAACAGCCGUUCCCCGGACGGCUCGCACGCGCAAUGGCCGCCCCGCGAACCACACGCCCCGUCGCAUUAACUCCGCGGCGGGACAGGCGGCGCCUCUGGCAGGAGAAGAAGGCGACGCUUCGCCUUCGCCGUAAUAACCGCGCCAAAAAAGGUACGCCGCGUCGUUCGAUUUCGUAUCCAUUUCCUUUUUUCCUCUUUCUCUCUCUUGCAACAGGGACCGGGAAAGGGGGAUACCCCGAAAAGGAUCCUUCCCUGUGAAGGAACCAGGCUCCGAGCCACCCUACUGAUCAGAGGUUCGAAGGCUGGCCCCCCGGAAGGGUUCGACAGCCGCCUCAGAUCGCGUGGGCCCUACACCCACUACUGGUCAGAGGUUCGAAGGUCGGCCCCUCGGAAGGGUUCCACGGCCGCCUCAGGCUACUCGGGCUCCGCACCCAUUACUGAUCAGGGGUUCGAAGGCUGGCCCCCGAAGGGUUCACAGCCGCCUCAGACGCCGAGCGAGGGAUGACCAUGGGUACGUUCGAUACAUAACCAAGGCUCGGGCUGCGCUCCCGAGGUACCCUAGGACAUUUCCGAGACCAGCGGGAGCGAUCUUGUAACGGAAUCCCAUCAGAGGGAGGCAUCGAGCCCUCGGACCCCGUCGCCAGGGGACCGGGUCCGGCAGAUCACCCGCAGGUACUUUUGGGCGUGCUUCUGGGCCCCUAGCCGACCCCUAACGAACGGGGCACGGACGUCCACUCGGAUUACCCGCUUGCAGCUCACCGGAGACAACAUGUUCGGCGCUCAUCGAGGGCAACAUGGCGCUUUCCCCCCCUCCUCCUUGCGGAAAGGCGACGCAGGGGCAUAUGUAAAAAAGCCGAGUCUGUCCCUGAUCGCCCUCUCGCCCUGUGCAGAGGCUCGGGGGCUGCUCUCGCAAACCCGGCUCCGGCUGAACCGUUGACAGCGUCAACAUACCAGCCUGAGAACUUGGGACCCGACCGUACACCCGGGCUACGGCCAGCUCGCAUGAGGGAACAACCAGACCAGCCGAAGCAUUACGCAAGGCAUUAAGACCUCGAAGGAGUAAAACCACUCCUCCGAGGCCUCGGGGGCUACACCCGGCGGGUGCGCUCUCGUGCACCCACCGGAACGAAAUGCAACCGAGAAAGGCUGGUCCCCUUGCAAAAAAUUGCGACGAAAGCCUCCAAGUGAGUGCUAACACUCCCUUCGAGGCUCGGGGGCUACUGUCGGGGACCAUAAUUAGGGGUACCCUCAAGGCUCCUAAUUCUCAGCUGGUAACCCCCAUCAGCAUAAAGCUGCAAAGGCCUGAUGGGUGCGACUAAAUCAGGGAUCAGUCCAUUCGAGUGACUCGAUCACGCCUCGCCCGAGCCUAGCCUCGGACAAGGGCAGCCGACCCCGAAGGAUUUCUGUCUCGCCCGGGGCCCCCCUCCAACGGCGAACAUAUUUUCGGCUCGCCCGAGGCCCUGCCUUCGCUAAGAAGCAACCCUGACCAAAUCGCCGCACCAACGGACCAAAUCGCAGGAGCAUUUAAUGCAAAGGUGGCCUGACACCUUUAUCCUGACGCGCGCCCCCCAGCCGGCAGAGCCGAAGUGACCGCCGUCACUUCGCCGCUCCACUGACCGGCCUGACAGAAGGAUAGCGCCGCCUGCGCCACUCCGACUGUGUGGGGAUAGAUAUCCCCCGGGUCCACUAAAGAGUAAAAGACCUCACGAAAGGCCCAAGGGCCCAAUAAAUCAUAAGGUCAUUCUUUCGUGGGCCUGGGGAGAGACAACCAGUAGAGCAGAAUCGACAUGAGGCAGGAUUGAUGUAAACCUGGACGACCCACAAUGUCGAGCGAAUGACCACAACAGAGAUCUGACUUUCCCGCGCUGGGGCCCCCAUGCAACGGAGCCAUGCGAGGAUAAGUCGGCAGGAUUACACGGAGAUAAACUCAAGAAGUUCACUAUCUUUUAGCUACUCGUUGUUAUCAUAUCCACAUGUAUUGCCCCACGGUCGAGUAUAUAAGGCCUAGGGGCACCCCUUCAGAACGAUUGACCCUAUUACUUAGCCACUCACGUCAACUCUCUGUAUUCUCAAUCCAGAGAGCUCUCUUGUAACCACAUUCACCAAGCAUACUCAUCAGGACGUAGGGUGUUACGCAUCUCUAAGCGGCCUGAACCUGUAAACCUUGUCCACUGUUCCUCGUGCAAUCGGCACGAACCAUUUUGCUACAGUUGUCGACACCGUCCUACUCCUAAAAACAUCUUGAGGGGCAACCCCGGGUGUGCGGUCGGACCCAAAACACCGACAGCUGGCGUGCCAGGUAGGGGGUGUGUCGACGAUCCAAGCUAGCUCAAUGGUCGUCACCUUCUACAGCCAGAUCACCCUGCGUCCUGGAUCCGUAUUCUGCUUCGGAACAAUCUCAUCUGUAGCAGAUGAAGAAGGAAUUCUACACCGUAUCGCGGAUCCGCCGGAAAAGAAGUCUCCCCCAACGAACUCCGAAAAUGCCGGAGAAGCGCAACCUCCAGCUCUCCGGAAAAAGAUCGUCUCCGGAAAGUCGGGGGCCGAGGGCUCGCUGACCCGGAGAACUCCACUGUCUACUUCUCCGACAAAAGAAUGGACAGAGAUCGCGAGGAAGAAGGAAACCAGGGAGAAGCAAGUUGUUCUUUCCGUUCCUCCGGCCUCAAAGGAGAACGGAAAAAAGGUCGCCACGAUAGCGGCACCAUUCUACCCCGACGUCCUCUUCAUCGGGAGAGUGGAGUCGCCUACCGUCUCCGAUGAUGAGCCGACCGCACCAGGAGAAGAACCGCCUCAAUGAGAAUCCCGCCGACGGAGGAAUCAGCGCAGGAACGUUCGACGACAUCACGUGGCCGGGGAACGGGAUCCGGAGCAGCCUGUCUCGCGAGACGAGGUCUCGGAGAUAGGAGAAACUCCGGAAGAACGCGUCUUCAGAGAACGAAGGAACUCCCGACGACGAGAUCACCGACGGGCUCAGGAACAAGCCGAGCAAGAUGCAAGGCAACGCCGGGAGAAUCCAUUCUUCGGGCGCAACCUGAAUCCCGACUUCGCCCGAGCUAUGAACACGCCGAGCGAAGUUGGAGGGGUACUAGCUCGGAUAACUGAUGGACUUCCUCGGACUCCUGACGCUGAGGGCUACCGACGACUGUUCACUCAGGCGGCCAACCAUCUUCUAUCGCUUGCUCACCCGCCGAACGAUCUACGACACACCAUCAACAGUCGCCGAGACGCACGAAGCUCCAUCAAUGCUUCGCGCGAACGGCGGCAUGAGAACGAGAUUCGCCGCCGGGAGGAGUACGACAGGGAUCAUGGCAUCCCGGCUCAGAGCCAGGCAGCCAGAACUGAGUCGGCAACGGCCUCAACUGGCGGUACCACCCGGGGACGGUCGAGGAACCACAACCACAACUCCCCUCCCCGGGACAGACAUCAUCCCCGGCGACAGGAGGACACGUGCGGAGUGUCCGCUCUUACUCCGCGCCUUAGGGCCAUCCAAUGGCCUCCCAACUUCAAGGUAUCCAAUGUCGACAAAUAUGAACCUAGGCAGGAUCCAGGGGGUUGGCUAGCCGUCUACACCACCGCUGCUCGAGCUGCCGGGGCAUCCGAGGACGUGAUGACCGCGUAUUUACCCAUCGUCCUUGGGCAAGACGCGCUGCAGUGGCUGCGACAUCUACCCCGACACUACAUCGACAACUGGGGGGACUUCAGUCGACGCUUCACCGCCAACUUCCAGUCCCUCUCCGACAAGCCGGCGCAACCGUGGGACCUCAAAUCCAUCAAGCGCCGGGGGGAUGAGACUCUCCGGUCGUACCUCAAAAGGUUCCAGACCAUGAGAAAUCGUAUCCCCGAGGUCACGGAGGCGGCCGUGAUCGAGGACUUCUACAGAGGAUCCAACGACUCGGCUUUCGUCCGAGCCAUACUACAGAAGGCGCCGACUACCUCCGAGGAGCUGUUCCGGGAAGCCGACCUCUACAUCACCGCCGACGAGCGGGCCCAGGACCUCAUCGGAGGAACGAAGCCCGCACCAGCAGCACCACGACGCGACGCGAACCAGCAACCCGACAAACGAUGGGAGAAGAGGCCUCGCGAAGAAGUACACACCGCCGGACCACCUGCCUCUCGCAUCCGAGGAGGACCUCGCGGAGGCGAACGCACACUGGACGACAUCCUCGACACCCAGUGCCCGUACCACAAAGACAUGCGCCACACUCUUCGUAACUGCCGGGACUUCAAGCACUCCAUCGGGCACGACCGACCCUUCCAACCUCUACCUCCUCCUCCGCCGAGGGGAGGACCAGAUGAACCACGACAACCCCGUCAGCAGGAGGAGGGAGGAGGAGGAGGAGCUUUCCCGCGCGUGGACAGAGAGGUCAACGUCAUCUUCGGCGGACACGGAACGCAGGAGAACAAACGACAACAAAAGCUCAACGACCGCCAGAUAUUGGUGGCGACCACCGGUCCUCCCGCCCCAUACCGGUGGUCGGAGCACCCGAUCACUUUCGCUCGGGAGGAUCAAUGGCUCAACUUCGACCAUCCAGGCAAAUACUCGCUCCUCGUCGAUCCGGUGAUUCGAGAGAGCCGGGUGAAGAAGGUGCUGGUGGACGGGGGGAGCAGCAUCAACGUCACCUUCCCCCGGACACUCAAAGGCUUGGGAGUUCACCUCAAAGAGCUCCACGAGUCGGACACUCCCUUCUUCGGCAUCGUGCCGACUGAAGGAGAAUACCCGCUGGGCCACAUCUACAUGCCUGUCACCUUCGGAACUCCGGAGAACUACAGAACCGAGUUCCUGAGGUUUGAAGUGGCGAACUUCGACUGCGGGUACAACGCCAUCAUCGGAAGACCAAUGUUGGGGACUUGUUCUCAAAUGCUAUGAAUUAAGAACAAGGCAACAUAAAAUGUUAAAUGUUAAUGUCCUUCGUCCAACGAAGCAUUAUUCCCUUAAGGAUUAAUGAAUUUUGGGCGAAGGUCGAAGACAAUAUGAUUAUGAAGGUUGAAUCUUCGUAAUUGAAUUCUAGCAGAUUGUAUAAAAUAACAUAAAAUAUGGAGUGUCAAAGGUAAAUGAAUCAUAAAUGAACAACAUUACUUUCAUAUUAUAUUUAUUCCAUGUAUUUAAGCAUUGGAUACAAUUAUACCUCUGUCUUGACAAAGAUUGGUUCCCGAAUGAUGCAAUUGCAAAUACAGAAAAAUACGUGAACAGUAAAGGAAUACUGUUCACUAUUUAUAGGCACGGGACACAGCCUGUGGGGAAUUACAAUUAUGCCCCUCAUAAGGGAUUACAACAGCGACUCAAACAUUUAUGGACUAAAAGGUCAUUCUACUUUUAAGUCGGUUUGUAAUUCCGAAGCUUCAUGAAGAGGAACCUUCGGUCAUCUCAUGCGGACAGCUUCAGCCGAAGCUGCUUCUUCCUACAAGACCUUCGGCGACGAAGCAUAGUCCCAACAAUAGCCCCUUUCGCGGCGCUAGAUCGUUUUUUGUAACGAGCUUGAUCCGUGAAAAAAGUCUCUUAAGCUUCGGGAAGCCGAAGGUCCAAAAAACACCUUCCCUGAGCUCGUUGUCGAGAAACGAUUCAGUUUCCGAGCGCGUAGCGGUCCCACCUUGCAGAGUUACUGUUUGGUCUCUGCGGUCCACCGCGCAGCGGGUGCAAGCAGCUGUUCGCCUGGUGUAAAAAUCCUGUCGAUUCACCUUCUUACCUGCAUCACUAUAUAAACAGACGUGUAGGUGUGAAGUUACCACAGCAUUCAUUGCUAUUUGCACUAUUUUGCUACCAAAAUUUUCAACCAUAGCCGAAGCCUGAUUCUCGAAAUCAGACGAAGCUCCAGCUUGAAGCCUGCUUCGUCAGAAGAAAAAGCUUCGGAAGAAAAAUAUUUAGUUUCCAAAAAAUCUAGAAUUAAAUGGCUAGAGUGCGUUCUACCGCUAGAGUUGAGCGUGAGGGAGGCAAAGCUGAAGGAUCGGAGACUGUUCCCAUCUCCGAAGCGAUGCAACGAUCCGGACUGGUAACCCCGGAAGAAAUCCCCACUGCUGAGACAGAACAGGCGACUGCCGAAGCGGAAGAAGGAAACAUUGAGGAAACUGAUCCCGAAGAUGAUUAUCGUAUUGCCAUGCCAAGUAAGCCCAGCCACUUGGACUUCGGAAAGUCGACUGUUUCGAAGGCUGAUCUCUCCAAGAUGGUGAAGUCGGGUUAUUUCAGUGAAAGUCAGAAGAAGCUACUACGCUUUGGGGGGGAAGAAACUACCCCGAAGCCAGAGAAGGAUGAAAUAGUCAUUUUCAAGAGCUUUCUAAAGGCUGGGUUGAGAUUCCCCCUGCAUGGGAUUAUUGCAGAUGUAUUGAAGAGGUUUGGGAUCUACUUUCAUCAGCUGACUCCUAACGCUAUCGUUAGGCUUAGUGUUUAUAUCUGGGCCCUCCGAAGCCAGGCGGUGGAGCCGUUUGCCGAUAGCUUUUGUCGAGUUCAUGAGCUGCACUACCAGACGAAGGCUAGAAAAGAUGGAUUGCAUGAUAACUUUGGUUGCUAUAACUUUGCUUAUCGGAAAACCACAAAGUUUCCUGUCAUCAGCUAUCGAAGCAAGUGGCCGGCAGGCUGGAAGUCAGAAUGGUUUUAUGUGAAAGUUGAUGACGACAAGGAGAAGCUUGUGCAGAGUCCGCUUGAAUUAAUCUUCGGAGAAACCCGACCUCAGUGCAACAUGACACCAGAAGGUCCAACCCAAAAAGCGUUGGCUGAGUUUAAAAUUAUUUCAGAGCAUAUCAGCACAAGAGACCUGGUUCAAGAGUUCUUGGCUUUCAGGGUUUUUCCUACUUUAAAAGAAUGGGAAAUGCCGAAGCUAGAGGGGGAGAAGAAAGAAGAGGAACUUGUGCGGUUACCUUACUAUUACAAGUUUAAGAAAUAUUUUAAAACACCUUGCCAAGAGUGGCUAGACACAAUUGAAAUAAUGUGCAAUGAAAUACUCGGUAAUUACUCCAAAAAAGAGGAUCAGUUGAUGACUGUGGCCUUCGGUACCCGUCCGAAGCGAAGACUGAAUCGAGUGCUGGACGCAUUGGGUUUUGAAUACCCUGACUACGAAAAUCUGAAUAAAGGUGUCGAAGGCCGAAAAAGGAAAAGAGUAGCCGAAGCUUUAAAUGAAGAUGAGAAAGAACCACCAAAAAAGAAGAAUAUUCCGAAGAAGAAGAAAGUAUCAUCUCCGAAGCAAAAAGUAUCCGACGAAGAGGAGACUCCCGCAUCACGCUCUGCCACUAACGUGGAAGAGAUUUUGAAGGUAAUGACUGAAUCCCUGCCUGUGAAGCUAAGUCCAUUGGGGCCUCAACUGACGAAGUUUUUUCAGAAGGAAAAGGAGCCCGAAAAAACGAAGAAAACAACUAAAACAAAGAGACAAAGAAUCAUCGCAGUGACAGAAGUUAUUGACAAGACACCACCGAGAGCUUCAGCUCGGAAGAUACCGUCGGCUGAGGAAAUAACAAAUAUUGAAGUUGCACCUUCGGAGAUCGCGGCUACCGAAGCUACCUCAACCGAAGAUUUGAAUUUGGAAUCCACAAUCGAACAUAUCGACAAAAUGCUGCUAGACAUGGCCACAGAAGAAGCUACUGCUGCCGCCGAAGAGACCAUGGCCGCAGUGUCUGGGAAAGAAAAGGAAAUUGCUGACGAAACUUCAGAGGUCGAAGCCUUCAUGUUUCAAAAUUUAGUUGGACAAGAAUUGUCAAAAGCCGAAAUAGAAGAGCUUAAAGAAUAUGCCAAAUCUUGCGGAUAUAAACCAGGAGCACUCCUCUUCGGGGGUAUUGACGAUGAAAAAUUAGGCUGUAUCCGGGAUCAAACUGGAGCUAAGAUUAUCGGUACUCUAUCAAAGAGUAUCGGUUUUCCGAAGCUAGAAACGGAUAUAAGCCGCUACCGACGACAACAUAUCGUUGGUAGUUUAUUUUAUUCCAAUUUCAAGGUGAACUACUUUUCCCUUGACGUUUAUUGUUUUUAAUAAUGGAGACAUUUCUAACGAAGGUUGUUUAUGUGCAGAGUAUGCUGUUGAGCAAGGCUUUGAAAAUGCAGCAGGAUCUGGAAGACAAAAAACACGAGGUUAUAAUUGAAAAUUUAGAGAGAAAAAUAAAUGAACAAUCAGCUACUAUUGAAAAGAAAAACUUCGAGCUUCAGACAACUGAAGGCUUAUUGGCAGAAGCCGAAGCUAAAAUAGCAGAAUUGAAUUCGAAGCUUCUCUGCCAAUCUGAACAGUUUGAACAAGAAAAGCAAGAACUUAAUGCGAAACUUAAAGCCGAAGUCCAACAAAAUUCAGAUUUGAAAAAAUUAUUGGCAAGCCUUCAAGACAAAUGUUUGGAAUUUAGCAACAAAUGUAUUCAACGACUGAGAAAAAUCUUCCACUCAGUUGGAGCUAGCAGUGAGAAAUUCACCCCGUCAGCUGAAGAUUUACCAAAGACCUUCGAACAUAUUGAGGGUGAAAUUGAUGAGCUUGACGAAGUUAUAGCCGGGCACGGUGACUUCUGUGCCUGGGUAGCUUCUCGGGGCACUGCUGCAGCUUUUCUGAAAGCUGGCUGCGAUCAUGGAAAAAUUGUUAAUAGGCCCAAUUUCACUCUAUCACCAUCAAUUUUAGAUGAUAUUCCUGACCUCGCCCGAAGCAUUUCUAAUAGAUUUGUAAAGAUGAUAUGGACAAAAGGCGGGCGAGAAAAGGCCGGAGACGAAGCUCGGAGUCAUCUUGAACCAGUAAGAAAUCAUACCUUGUGUUUACCUUUUCCUUCAAAUUUGGUUUUGACCCCCAACAACUUAAUUCAUGUAGGAUGACGAAGCCGAAACUGGUGCUUAAAGAGUAUGACACCGAAGCUAAGGCCCCAUGAAGAUCAGUAGAAGUAAACUGUAGAAAAACUCAAGAAACUUUUGAAAUAACUUUUGUAAAUAUGGCUAAACAGCUCUUAAUGAAUUUUGUUCAUACCUUGUAAUAUGCUCUUACCCUUCCAUUAAUGUAUGAGGUGCUUUGAUGUGGACGAAAUUAUCUUUUUGAGCCGAAGGCGAAAAAACACCUUCCCUUCUUUUCGUACUCAGCGAAGCAUAAAAAACAGCUUUUCCUUUUUACCGAAGCUCUUCUUUUCGUACACGACGAAGUACAAAAGACAGUUUUUUCCUUUUUGCCGAAGCAACCACUUAUGCUAUGAUGAUGGCUAUCCUACAUAUGCCUGGAUGAAUGUUUAUGAAUGCAAAUGUUAUGAUGUAAUGUAGUGUGCAAAUGAAUGUCCAAACACAUAUCUGAAGCCAUAAUCACAACCGUUAUUUCCUUAGAAACAAUCACAUAUCAGCGCUGACUUUUCGCUGUAAGCCUCCCUUAGGAGCUUCUUCGCCUUUUACUUCAGCGGAAUCAGCGUUGACUUUUCGCUGUAAGCUCUGCAUUCCCUUAGGAAUGACUUUGGAGCUUCUUCGCCUUUUACUUUCGGCGGAAUCAGCGUUUAUUUUUCGCUGUAAGCUCUGCAUUCCCUUAGGAACGGCUUUGGAGCUUCUUCCCUGUUUCUUUUCGGCACUCGAUGGUGCGUUCUCAGUUUUUACAUUUACAUCUUUUGGGGGAUUUUGCUCUUAUAGAGCUAAAAAAGGAAAUUACAUGUGGUGGCCCCAUUAAAAACCUUUCUCCCCCUUCAGAAAGGAAAAGGGUGCCAUGAAAGAAAAAAUAAAAAAUAUAAAAAAUUACAUCAAGUUAUACAUAAUAUCGCCGAAGCUCAUCCGCAUUCCAAGAUCUAGGAAUGUCGUUGCCGUCCAUAUCCUUCAAUCUGUAUGAACCGGGUCUUGACGAAGAUACUACCAAAAAAGGUCCCUCCCAUUUCAACUGCAACUUGCCCACUGUAUCUGGGUUAGCCACUCUCCGAAGCACCAAAUGUCCUGGCUCAAUAUUCUUUAGCCGAACCUUUCUAUCACGCCAUUUGAUUGUUUCGGCUUGAUAUUUAUUGAUGUUCUCCACAGCCUGAAGCCUGAUCCCUUCUAUAGCAACUUUUUCCACAGAAUGAUCAGCUUCAGAAUCUGAUUCUGCCGAAGCUACGACUCUUAUUGAUCCAGUUUUUGCUUCCUCCGGAGUUAUUGCUUCGUCACCAAACAAUAAUUUGAAUGGAGUAAAGCCUGUUGACCUUGAUGUUGUUGUGUUGUGGCUCCACACCACUUUGAUUAAUUGAUCUGGCAACUUUCCCCUGGGUUGAUUGAAGAUUAACUUCAUUAUUCCUGUCAUUAUGAUGCCAUUGGCUCUUUCAACAAGUCCAUUUGACUCCGGAUGUCUAACUGACGCAAAAUGGAUCUUCGUGCCAAUUUGAUCACAGAAUUCUCUGAAAGCUUCAGAGUCAAACUGUGUUCCAUUAUCUACAGUGAUGGCCUUUGGUACUCCGAAACGACAAACAAUAUUCUGCCAGAAAAACUUUUGAAUUGUGGCCGAAGUUAUUGUGGCUAAAGGCUUAGCCUCAAUCCAUUUAGAAAAAUAUUCCACAGCCACUACAACAUAUCUUAAGUUUCCUUGGGCCGGUGGUAACGGACCUAACAAGUCAAGGCCCCACCUUUGCAAUGGCCAGAUGGGUUGUAUCAGCUGAGUUAGAGACGAAGGUUGUUUCUGAUCUCUUGCACAUUUCUGACAACCUUCGCACUUUUGAACUAAUUCCGCUGCAUCCGAAGCUGCCUUCGGCCAAUAAAAUCCUUGACGAAAAACUUUUCCAAGUAACGGCCUAGAUCCAAUGUGAGAUCCACACAGGCCUGCAUGUAUUUCUUUCAUCAAUUCUAUGCCUUCGGCUCUGGAUAAACACUUGAGUAAUGGAGCACACACUCCAUGCUUGUACAACUCUCCUUCUAUCAUGACAUAUGGACGAGCUCUUGCCUCUAUCCUCCUGUUAUAAGCUUCGUCAUCUGAAAGGAAAUUACCCUGAAGGUAAGAGAUGAUCUCAGUUCUCCAGUCUUCACUAUAAACAGGAGAUAUAUUGAGGACUGCUCUUUCAAGAAGCUCCACUGAAGGUGCUUUUAUUGUUUCGAAGAACACAUCCGAAGGUAAGGGCAGCCCCUGUGCUGCUGACUUGGCUAGCAAAUCAGCAUGCUCAUUUUGUCCUCGAGGAAUAUUUUUGACAGAAAAUCCUUCGAAGGAGGCUUCAAUUCUUCGGACCGUGUCUAGAUAUUUUUCGAGCUUCGGAUCUUUAGCCUUACAACUCUUGUCGAUAUGACCUGAAACAACCUGGGAAUCAGUUUUAAGAAUAGCCCUUCUGAUUCCCAUUGCUUUUAGCUUCUGAAGACCCAAAAGCAGGGCUUCGUAUUCAGUAAUAUUGUUUGUGCAACUAAAAUCGAGUCUUGCUGCAUAACAAGUUUUAACUCUAGAUGGUGAGACCAACACAGCAGCUGCUCCCGCUCCGAAGGUUCCCCAAGACCCAUCGCAAAACACUGUCCAUACUUCGGCAUCUUUAUUUGUUUCUUCAUCCUGAGCCCCUGGCGUCCAGUCGGCAAUGAAAUCUGCUAACACUUGAGACUGGAUCGAAGAUCUAUGCACAUAAUCAAUGCAAAAUUCAUUGAGCUCUGCAGCCCAUUUUCCAAUCCGUCCAGUAGCUUCUCUAUUUCUCAUAAUGUCCUUCAACGGCUGCGAAGAAGGAACAACAAUAUUGUAUGCUUGAAAGUAAUGCCGAAGCUUCCUGGAUGCCAUCAAAACAACAUAUAACACCUUCUCCAAUUCUGUAUAGUUUUUCUUUGAUACACUAAGAACCUCAGAUACAAAAUAUACUGGGGCCUGCUUCUUGAUUUGGCCAUCAAGCUUCUCCUGGACAAGUGCUGCACUUACCGCUGAGUGCGAAGCUGCCACAUAUAAUAACAAAGGAGCCCCUGGUGUUGGUGGAGUUAAUGUUGUUAGAUCUAUCAAAUAUUGCUUCAGUUCCUCGAAGGCUUUUUGUUGGCUUGAUCCCCAUUGAAAGACCUCGGCUGAUUUCAGCACUUCGAAGAAUGGUAAAUUUCUCUCUGCUGAUCUGGAUAUGAAUCUAUUGAGAGAUGCCAGCCUCCCCGUCAAUCUUUGGGCCCCCUUUUUUGUAUUUGGUGGCUCCAUUCGAAGUAUGGCUUCAAUUUUACUUGGAUUAGCUUUGAUUCCCUUUGUUGAAACCAAGCAUCCAAGAAAUUUCCCCUUCUUUAAUCCGAAGACACAUUUUUCUGGAUUCAGCUUUAGACCAGCUUGUCUAAAACUGGCGAAGGUCUCCUGCAAAUCAGCAAUGUGAUUUUCCUGUUUCGUGCUUUUUACAAUGAUAUCAUCAACAUAAGUUAGCACAUUUCUGCCUAUCUGAGACUGGAGAACCUUCGCAGUCAUUCUGCUGAAACUUCCUCCAGCGUUCUUGAGCCCCUCAGGCAUCCGAAGGUAACAAUAUGUUCCACUUGGGGUUAUGAAACUGGUCUUCGGCUCAUCCUCCUUCUUCAUCCAAAUUUGAUGAUAGCCUGAAUAACAAUCUAGAAGACUCAUAAGCUCUGACGAAGCUGCUGCAUCAACUAAGGAGUCUAUCCUUGGCAAUGGGAAUUCGUCCUUCGGACAUGCCUUGUUGAGAUCCGUAAAAUCAAUACACAUUCGCCAUUUGCCAUUGGCCUUUUUUACCAUAACAGUGUUAGCUAGCCAUUCUGGGUACUUUACUUCUCUGAUAACUCCUGCACUGAGAAGUCUUUUGACUUCAUUCCGAGCCCCUUCGGCCUUGUCAUCAGACAUUUUCCGAAGCCUCUGCUUUCUGGGUUUGAAGGAUGGGUCAACAUUGAGCGAGUGUUCAAUAACAUCCCUGUUAACUCCGCAAAGAUCAUUAGCUGACCAUGCAAAAACAUCUUUGUUGUUGAACAAAAACCUUAUCAAGGUUUUCUCCUGUUCUUCGGAUAAUUGGGAGCCCAACAACACCUUCUGCUCUGCUAUGUCCUCACAUAAGAGCAUGGGCUUCGGCUGAUCUGCCGAAGCUGCUUUCUCCCUUCUGAAUUUGUAUUGUUCACAAGCUUCAGCUCCAUCUAUAUUAUGGAUUGCUUUUGAGUCAGUCCAGUUUCCCUCAGCCCUUCUGGCAGCUUCCUGACUUCCAUGAAUAGCAAUGAGUCCUUGAUCCGAAGGUAUCUUCAUGCAAAGAUAAGCAGGAUGAAGAAUUGCUUCGAAAGCAUUGAGGGUGCCACGACCAAUAAUUGCAUUGUAAGGGUAUUCCAUGUCAACAAUGUCAAACACAACUUGCUCAGUUCUGGUGUUGUUGAUGAAUCCGAAGAUCACUGGCAUGGUGAUCUUGCCCAGUGCUACAAUCUGUCUUCCUCCGAAGCCACAGAGAGGGUGUGUAGCAUCAUGAAUCUUAUCUUCUGGCUCUUGCAUUUGUCUGAAGGCCUUAGCAAAUAUAAUAUCAGCUGCACUGCCUGUAUCAACCAAAACAUUGUGGACCAGAAAUCCUUUGAUAACGCAAGAAAUAACCAUAGCAUCGUUAUGAGGAAAAUCCUUGAGCUGAAGAUCCUCUUGGGAGAAGGUGAUUGGAAUAUGGGACCAUUUUGACUUGAUGAAGGGUCCCUGCACUCCAACAUGUUGUACCCUUCUCUGCGCCUCUUUCUUCUGCUUUUUGUUGGCUGGUUCUGAGCACGAACCACCUGUUAUCGGGAGCACCAGCUUCGGGGCCGAAGCAGCUCCAGCUUGAUCGUUAAUCGAAGCCAUCAGCUCAAAAAGUGGAAGUGAGUUGACCGGAGGUGGGCGCCAAUGUUGGGGACUUGUUCUCAAAUGCUAUGAAUUAAGAACAAGGCAACAUAAAAUGUUAAAUGUUAAUGUCCUUCGUCCAACGAAGCAUUAUUCCCUUAAGGAUUAAUGAAUUUUGGGCGAAGGUCGAAGACAAUAUGAUUACGAAGGUUGAAUCUUCGUAAUUGAAUUCUAGCAGAUUGUAUAAAAUAACAUAAAAUAUGGAGUGUCAAAGGUAAAUGAAUCAUAAAUGAACAACAUUACUUUCAUAUUAUAUUUAUUCCAUGUAUUUAAGCAUUGGAUACAAUUAUACCUCUGCCUUGACAAAGAUUGGUUCCCGAAUGAUGCAAUUGCAAAUACAGGAAAAUGCGUGAACAGUAAAGGAAUAUUGUUCACUAUUUAUAGGCACGGGACACAGCCUGUGGGGAAUUACAAUUAUGCCCCUCAUAAGGGAUUACAACAGCGACUCAAACAUUUAUGGACUAAAAGGUCAUUCUACUUUUAAGUCGGUUUGUAAUUCCGAAGCUUCAUGAAGAGGAACCUUCGGUCAUCUCAUGCGGACAGCUUCAGCCGAAGCUGCUUCUUCCUACAAGACCUUCGGCGACGAAGCAUAGUCCCAACAACCGGGAUUGGCCAAAUUCAUGGCCAUUCCGCAUUACACAUACAUGAUACUGAAGAUGCCAGGACCGCAAGGAAUCAUAACUGUGCGCGCCGACUUCCAAGGCGCCGCAGAGUGUUUCCGAGUGGCCAUCCAGACAGCCCUCACCACCAAGCCGUCGACGGUUCUUUCUACACUAGCGAACUCUAAGCCUGAGGAGGACCUCGCAGUACCGGCAAACGAAGCUCAGGCCGCGACCUCUAUGCGGCCGACUGAAGAAACCAAGAGAAUCAACCUGGGGUUCGCUGAUGAGCGCAAGACGGCUAUCAUCAGCUCCAGCUUGGACGACAAAUAGGAAAGCGCGCUCGUCCAGUUUCUGCAAGAUAACCGAGAUGUAUUCGCAUGGCAACCUGCGGAUAUGUCGGGAGUCCCAAGAGAACUGGCCGAGCACAAACUGAAGGUCUACCCCCAGGCGAGGCCGAUUCGGCAAAAGCUACGUCGUUUCACGCCCGACAAGAGAGAGGCCAUUCGCGCCGAGUUAGCUCGCUUGGUCGUGGCUGGAUUUAUUAGAGAAGUAUUACACCCCGAGUGGUUAGCCAACCCUGUUCUUGUACUCAAAAAGAAUAAAGUGGAUUGGCGCAUGUGCGUCGACUAUACUGAUCUCAACAAACACUGUCCGAAGGAUCCCUUCGGGCUCCCAAGGAUAGAUCAGGUGGUGGACUCCACCGCUGGAUGUUCCGUGCUGUCUUUCUUAGAUUGCUAUUCCGGGUAUCAUCAGAUUAGUUUGGCGAAGGAAGACGAGGAAAAAACGGCGUUCAUCACUCCGUUUGGUGCUUUCUGUUAUACCUCCAUGCCGUUCGGCCUCAAAAACGCUGGAGCGACUUAUCAGAGAGCCAUUCAAACAUGCUUAGCCGAUCACUGGGGCAAGCGUGUGGAGGCCUACGUAGAUGAUGUGGUAAUCAAAACGGAGAAUUCGGAAAACUUCAUCGAAGACUUACAACUGGUUUUCAACAGCCUGAGACGAUAUAGAUGGAAGCUUAAUCCCGAAAAAUGUGUUUUCGGGGUACCAGCAGGAAAGUUGCUCGGGUUUAUCGUCAGCCACCAAGGAAUUGAGGCUAAUCCAGAAAAUAUUGAAGCUAUCAUGAAGAUGGAAGCUCCUCGAUCACAAAAGAAGGUUCAGCGACUUACUGGAUGUAUGGCAGCUCUGAGCAGAUUUAUAUCCAGGCUGGGAGAAAAAGGUUUGCCAUUUUACAAGCUACUCAAGAAGGUGGAUAAGUUUCAAUGGACUUCAGAAGCACAAGAAGCUCUAGAUGCACUGAAAAAAUUCUUGACAACACCACCAGUACUGAAGCCACCCCGGCGAGCUACGUCAACUCAACCAGCUGAAGAUUUGCUACUGUAUAUCUCUUGCAUGACUCACGUGGUAAGCACCGCGUUGGUAGUCGAGCGAGUAGAAGAAGGACAUGCUUAUCCAGUGCAACAUCCUGUUUACUUCAUAAGUGAAGUUCUAGGCCCCUCAAAGAAAAAGUAUCCUCAAGUUCAGAAGCUAUUAUACGCAGUACUUCUAACUGCCCGCAAGCUGCGUCACUACUUUGAUGACCACAAAGUCAUAGUAGUAACUGGUUUUCCAAUAGGGGAUAUUCUUCACAACAAGGAAGCCAUUGACCGAAUAGCCAAGUGGGCUUGCGAGCUGGGAUCUCAUGACAUCGAGUUCCGACCUCGCACUGCCAUCAAAACUCAAGCACUGGUUGAUUUCGUAUCAGAGUGGACUGAACAGCAAGUACCAGAUAACCCAGAGACUGCAGAAGUAUGGCGAAUGUAUUUUGAUGGCUCGCUGAAGCUGCAGGGAGCAGGAGCAGGGAUUCUCUUCACCGCACCUGGAGGCGAACACCUCAAGUACGCCCUCCAGUUGCUAUUUCCGGCCUCCAACAAUGCAGCCGAGUAUGAAGCUCUGAUCCAUGGAUUGAACAUCGCCAUAUCGUUGGGCGUCAAGAAAUUGAUGGUAUACGGAGACUCUCUGGUAGUCAUCAGCCAGAUAAACAAGGAGUGGGAUUGUUCAAGCGAUUCAAUGGGAAAAUACUGCGCUGCCAUCCGAAAGCUGGAAGAUAAAUUCGAGGGUCUGGAAUUUCAUCAUGUAGAAAGAGAUCGGAACACGGCAGCCGAUGUACUGUCCAAGCUAGGGUCCAGUCGAACUCAGGUCCCACCCGGAGUCUUUGUGCAAGAAAUUCUACAGCCGAGUAUCUCAAUGGAUCAAACAGAAGAGUGCAACAUCAUAGAUCAACCCGAGUCAGACUCUGAUGACUGGAGAAGGCCAAUCAUUAAGUAUAUAAAGAAUGAAGAAGAACCAGACGGCAAGAACUCGGCCGAGCGCAUUGCCAGACAGUCGGCUCACUAUACACUCAUUGGGGAGACAUUAUACAGAAGGGGUGCAUCAGGCGUCCUCAUGAAGUGCAUUCUCCCGUCCACUGGGAAGCAACUUCUGGAGGAGGUCCAUGCUGGGCAAUGUGGAAUACACGCAGCCUCCAGAACGCUAGUCGGGAAGGUCUUCAGGUCAGGAUUCUAUUGGCCAACAGCGAAGAACGAUGCAGCCGAAUUAGUUCAGAGGUGCGAAGCUUGCCAAUACUUGUCAAAGCAACAACACAUGCCAGCACAGCAACUGCAGACCAUACCAGUGACUUGGCCUUUCGCAUGCUGGGGAAUGGAUAUGAUUGGACCUUUCAAGAAAGCUCAAGGGGGAUACACUCAUGUAUUGGUGGCGAUCGACAAAUUCACUAAAUGGAUAGAGUUCAAGCCCAUUGCUUCUUCAACCUCUGCUAAGGCCGUGGAAUUCAUACAAGACAUAAUAUUCAAAUUCGGGAUACCAAACAGCAUCAUAACUGACUUAGGAUCCAACUUCACAAGUUCAGAAUUCUUCGACUUCUGUGAGCAAAAGAGCAUUCAGAUCAAGUAUGCAUCUGUAGCACAUCCAUGAGCCAACGGGCAGGUUGAGCGAGCCAACGGGAUGAUACUGGAGGCACUCAGGAAAAAGGUCUUCGACAAGAAUGAAAAAUUCGCAGGAAAGUGGAUAAGGGAAUUGCCCUAUGUCGUUUGGAGCCUAAGAACCCAACCUAGCCGAGCCCUGCAUGGAAACACUCCUUUCUUCAUGGUCUAUGGGUCGGAGGCAGUGCUACCCGCCGAUCUCAAGUUUGGGGCGCCAAGGUUGAUCUUUGAAAGCAUAGAAGAAGCUGAGGCCACCAGGCUGGAGGACAUUGAUGUACUUGAAGAAGAACGGCUUAACGCAGUAAUCCAAUCAGCACGGUACCAGCAGACUCUAAGGCGCUAUCACGACAAGGCUGUGCGACAACGAUUCUUCUCAGUAGGAGAUCUCGUCCUCCGCCGAAUUCUAACGGGGGAGGGACGGCACAAGUUAUCACCCUUAUGGGAAGGACCCUUCAUGGUAGCAGAAGUCACUCGGCCCGGAUCGUAUCAUCUCACUCAGAUGGAUGGCACAAAAGUUGGGAACUCCUGGAACAUAGCACACCUCAGAAAGUUUUAUCCCUAGCUGUAUUUCAAAACUGUUGGGACGAUGAUGUACUCUGUAAAGUGGAAAUAUAUCAUCAAUAAAAAAGAGGUUUCAAAGAUACUCAGUUCAUUUACGAUUGACUUGCAUUCUUACUUAACUCGGGGUGACCACUAUACCCUACUAACGGAGCAAUCGACUCAAGUCGGCAACGACUUAAGGCGGUGCAACAUGCUCAUGCUUACUUAACUCAGGGUGACCACUAUGCCCUACUAACGGAGCAAUCGACUUAAGUCGGCAACGACUUAAGGAGGUGCAACAUGCUCACGCUUACUUAACUCGGGGUGACCACUAUGCCCAACUAACGGAGCAAUCGACUUAAGUUGGCAGCGACUUAAGGUGGUGCAACAUGCUCACGCUUACUUAACUCGGGGUGACCACUAUGCCCUACUAAUGGAGCAAUCGGCUAAAGUCAGUGGCGACUUAAGCCGGAGCAACAUGCUCAUGCCUAUGCAAUUCAGGGGAUGACUUCUAUAUCCCGCAAACAAAUUUCAUAAUCAUCGUGCGUCAUUUCAUUACUGCAGAUUUACGAACUGAUGAAUUCUGAUACAAUAAGAGAGUAAUUUUAUCAUUCGAAUGCUGAACUGAUGUCCUCUAACAAAUACUCGAUCAUGCUAACCGCGCGCUCAAAGCACGCAAAAUGUUUCCCUAUUUCGCAAUGUCUUUCUCAGGAGCGACCGACGAAGAAGGGCGACUCAAGGAAUCAGGGGCAGCAUUCACAUCAGCCCUUAUGUCUUCAGGAACAACCACGCCGGGUCUCCUCAUCAAGAUUCGUCCCGCCCGAAUAGCCUUGUCCAUGGCUCUGUCGCGCUGGGCUUUGAGAGUAACAGAAGUUUCUUCGGCAACUUUAGCAGCCAGUCGAGCAGUCUCUAACUCCUGGACAAUGGAUUUCUUGGAAGCUCGGAGUUCCUUGAUGGUGACAUCCUUUGCUGAUAUCAGCUGCUUGAGGCGGGUCACUUCGUCCGCGGAUUCCUGCAGCUUACAACGUUGAUUGUCCAAUUCCUCCAUUGUAAAGCGGUGACUCCUCUCCAAGAUGGUCAGCGAGUUGCUAGAAUCACGAUACAAUCUGUCAAGAUUGUCACGAGAAGCAGCAAGGAUACGCUUUUCUUCCUGCGAGCAAAAAUCAACUCCUUCAAAAACCAAGCAAGUAAUAGGAACACAGCAAAGCAAAGCACAAUUUUGUAAAUUACCUUUUCAGAAUCGAGCUGAGCAUGAAGAGAAGAACUCAGUGCAUUGGCGUCAUCCAAGGCAGCAGAGACUUGACCCAAUUCAGUUUGGCUCUGAGAGUACUUCUCCUCGAAGUCAGUACACCGCUGAACCAAUUCAGCCUGAUCUCGGGAAUGUUUUUCCUCAAGAAUUGAAAUCUGCCGAGUCAUUCCUAGCAAGAGAUAAUCAAACAAAAUGGGGUCAGAAGGUAAAGCAGUCCACAGCGAAGGCAGAGAGAAGCAAAAAAGCACUAACCAGCGUUGGUUGCCUCCAAUUCAGAGACACGAUGUUGAAGUGACACUGGAUUCCAACACGCAAGAGACGAAGCCACUUCUGGGACGGAAGCACCCUGCAAUCUCAGCUGGCUGGCCAUCCCAUCCACCAAAGCCUGAUGAGGAGAACAAAUGAGUGUAAUAACAGCAGUUCAGGCAAUGUAAAAAUCAAGCUAAAGUACAUCACAGUACCUGGAGGUUGGAAAAGAACGAAGGGAUCCCCAAAUCAGGAGAGAUCAGUUGAUAACCAGGCGUAAGACCACCACCCGAAGCAGCUUGCAACGAACCAGUAGGAAUCAGCUCGGUGCCUUCAACAGAGCCAAACACCUGAUCAGCGGGGACGCUGCCCUCUAAAGAGACUCCCUGGUCCAAGGUUUGAGCUACCACCAUACAGCCGGAGUGUGGAGGAGAUCCCGCAUGAACGUCCAUGGAAGUACAGGAAGGAGACCCUGCUCGGGUACCCUCGGGGGCUGGGUCAUAGUUUGCACUGCCCGCUUGAGCCGGAUCAUCCCCGGCAGCACCCUCAGGGGCUGGGCAGUGGCUUACACUCUUCACCCGAGCUAAGUCAUCCCCGGCGACACCCUCGGGGGCUGGGCAUGUGUCAGCACCAUUCUUGAGGUCCAAGCUCUCUGCAGUAACCACCUCUAAGGUUGACGGGCCCUCAGCUACUUCCAUAGGACCAGGACGAUCCAAGUCAGUCUCCCGGCCCUCGAGAUCGCGCUCUAAGGUCGACGAGGCACGAGACGACCUCAACCCAGCAUCGGGCACGUCAGCGCAAGCCUCCAUUGCACCAUCAUCCACUGGCUCCGAUAACAAGUCCUCUGGGACCAUAUCCUCCAGAGUCUGAUCAAAGUUGGCCAGGGACAGUUCUUGCAGACCAAUGAGGGCAGACAAAGCAGGAGAGGGAACUCCACUACUUUCACCACUGGCGAUGAACUGCCGACUGUUUUUCCGAGUCAAAGGAAUCUCAUUUUUCUCUUCCUCAUCAUCCACAUUGGCAACACAAGCAGCACCCCCAUUGGGAUCAGCAACAGAUGGGGCACCCACUAUGGGAUCAACAGCGGAUUGGGUACACCCAUUGGGGUCAGCGUCAGUAAAUCCAGUCGCAGGCACUUCUUCAAUAGCAGGAAUUGAGGUACCAGCGUCCUGAUCAAAACUGGAUACUCGCCGGAGGCGUCUUCUUUUCUUCUUCUGCUCAUCAACAUAAGGAUCAGGCUGAUUGGUUCGGCAAGGGCGCCUCGGGCGAGCACUGACAGGCUUCUGAACAUCCAAAGUCGUAUCAGCCUCUGGGAGAGGCGCCACUACCAACGUCCCAGCAGGAGCAGCAUCGGAUGAAUCCUCAGCUAGCAAAUCAAGCAUAGCGCUUAUCUCUGCAUCACUAGGGUUCAGGGGCACCUCAAAAUGAACCUGCUGUUCAUCAUCAGGAAUCUCCCCAAGCGAGGCAACCAAAGCACUGACUUCUUCAGCAGAGGGUUGCACUCUAAGGCCCAAACUGCCAUCAGUAAUGGGUGGAUUCGACACGAAAAGGGUGAAGGCUUUGGGAGGAGGCAAGUUCCAGGCCGAGUACGCCACUGGAGCACCAACAUUUGACACCUUGCCCCUGAGGAUCAUUUCAAGUCGGCUCACCAAGUCUGCAGAAGGAAUUCUCCUGUUGGUAACCCGAGUUGAGUCGGCUAGCCCUCGAUACAGAUAAGCUGGAUAGGCCCUGUCUUUCAGUGGCUGAAUAUUCUUGAAAACAAAGUCAGUAACCACAGCUUCAGCAGUCAGACCCCUCUCUUUCAGCAGUCCAACUUCAGCUAGCAACACACCUGCCUCAGCUACCUCCUGAUCUGUGGGAGACUCGGUCCAGCUUGGGGUGCGAACGUCCGGCUGUCUUCCCGACCGGGAGGGGAGAGAAUUCCCAUAAUUCUCAACUAUGAACCACUCCAGGCGCCAUCCCUUAAUACUGUCCUUGAGGGGGAUCUCGAGAUAUUCAGUUUUCCUCCCGCAGCGCAUCUCCAAGCUGGCACCCCCGACCAACUGAUGUUGUCCCCCGGCCAUCCCAGGGCGUCAAUGAUACAAGUAUUUCCAUAAACCGAAAUGUGGCAGCACGCCAAGAAAGGCCUCGCAUAAAUGAACGAAAAUGGAGAUUUGCAGAAUUGAAUUGGGGUUCAAAUGGGUCAAGUUAAUAUGGUAGAAAUCAAGGAGGCCGCGGAAAAAGGGAGAGAUGGGAAGGCCAAGGCCGCGGAGAAGGAAAGGGGCGUAAACAACAGACUCAUGGGUAUCCUGUAACACCCCUGGUGUUACGUAAACUAAAACUCUGACAUGUCAUCAUAAGCAUCUGCAUUAAUGUGCUUGUUACACCUAGAAUGCAUUUACUAGGUUAAAAUUUUCUUUUCAAAAGUGUGAUGUCGUGUGUUGAGUAUAGGACUUAGGUUGAAAACCUUGCUUGAAAUUGUGGAUAAACAAAAUAACUCCGAAAUCAAGGACUUGUUCGGAAGGAGCUACAUAUGCUAAAGUUGGAUCUUAGACUAGAGAGUAACUUUGUUUCUAAUGGAUGGAUCAAAGGGAUGAAUCCCUGGAAGAAUCUGAAACACAAAUGAAACUCAUUUGAAACCCUAAAACUAGCCCAAAAGGGGAAUUCAAAAUCUAGAAGGAUUUAGCUAAAAGUCUAUAUACCAAGGUUGUAGGACUUGGAAAAGUGAACAAAUUUCAUAUUUGGAGAUUCCUAAGUUGUGUGGAAGAAUUUGGAGUUAAGUACAAAAAUUCAGUUUUGGGUUCAUUUUGGAAUUGCUGAAAAUAAUAUAAACUAGACAACUUUGGACCCUUGUAACUUCUGAUCUAAAACUAUUUUGAAGAUGAUCAUUAUAACAAAGUCAUAGAGCUACAUGAGGAGUACAAGUUUGGUUAAGUCACCUAGCCCUAACACUCUAUGGAACUUGGAGAAAAACUAGUCCAAUGUAGAGCUGUCAGAAAUUGUAGAUUUCAGACUUAGUGAAAUUCAGAUUCUGAAUUUCAGCAAUUGGAGCAAACUUUGGGCUAUUGUAGUUUGGAAUUCAAGAGGUUUUAGUUAAUGGUUACUAUAUCAAACUUGUAGAGGAACUAUUGGAGUAUAAACUUUAUUAAGCAACUUGCCCCUAUAAACAUUUGGAACCCAGGAAAAAGAGUGGUUCCAAGUGGUGCUGCUGUAUUUCUGAAUUUUCAGAUUGGAAACAGUAACUGAAACUGAAUUUCAGUGUUUUGAUAGCAGUUUUGAAGCCUAUUUGUGGUUGUUCUAUAAUGUUUUGUGCUAUGGUAUUUAUAGAGAAGUUGAAGCCCAUAUGAUGGUGAACAAGUUUCUUUAAGUGACUUUGGCUUCUUUCCACAUAAAAAGUGGAUAAAAAUGCCCCCAAAAUCAGCUGCUAGGCAUUCCUAUAACUGAAUUUGGUUCAGUUCUGAAAACUGAAAUUUGUUGUAUGGUGCCGAGUUUGGAGCCCUUUUGUGGUUGUUUAUAAGGUUUUGGACUGAGAUUUCUAUAGAGGAAUUGAAGACCAUAUAUUGGUGAACAUCUUCUUUAAAGGUAAUGGACAUGAUCCUAUACGAAAAUUGGAGUAACAGCUGCUCCAAGUUUGACUGUCAGGUGGUUGGUGACUUAGUUUAUUCAGAACUGAAAGUCUGAAGUCAAUAUUUUUAGUGCAGUUUUGGAGCUGUGUAGUGCCUAUUCUAGGUGGUUUUGAACCAAAGUUUCUGCAGCAAGUUUUAAGACCAUAUCUAGGAGAACAAACUUGUUUAAGCACUACUGGGUUGGUGCUACACAAAUUUGGGAGAGAAGUUAGCUCCAAGAUGGGCUGUCAGGUUGCUUUGACUGAAAUUUUUGUUCAGUUCACUGAAACCGAAAUUCAGUAAAAGGUACUAAUUUUGGAGCUCAUUUGUGGCUAAUCCAUUUGGUUUUGGGCUAAAUUUUCUGUAUCACAUUUGAAGACCAGAGUACAUUGAACAAGUUUUAUAUAGUGAGGUGGACUUGAUGCUGCACAAAACUGGGAGAAAAAGGUGUUCAAACUACCUCUGUCAGAUUGGUGCAGAUCAGGUCUGAUGCAGUGACUGUGGUUUUGGUUUAGUGUUUUCCCUAGAUUUUAGAGUUAAUUUGUGGUUGAUCCAAGGGGUAUAAGUCUAUGGCCUCUGUGGAGAUAAGUUAGAGGGUUAGUUGGUGAACAAAGUUCACCAAGAUUGAUUCCGUGAUGUUGCUUGGAAGUAGAAGAAAUGAAAGGGUGGAAGGAGGGGUUCUGUUAAGCUGUGGUAGUUCAGUGUUGGUCAAAAGGAAUCUGAAAAAGAUCACCCCCUGCUGCUCUCACCUAUGAGCUUGGAUGGGGAUAAGGUUGAAAGGUGUCACUAAAGAUCUAGAGAACAUUCACUAGUGCAAAAUAUCCAAGUUGGACUGCAGUGAGCAGUGGGGUGUUUAAUUGUUUCAGUUGUCGCUUGCAGUUGGGGACAAAGGGGAUAUUUGUGUGUGUAGUUGAGAUGAGUAUGGAGUGUAGGAUUGAGGUCUUAAGACACCACCCUCUGCUGGACGAAAUAUCAAGGCUUUGAACCUGUUGGAACCUAUCCACAAGUGAUAUUUGGGUGCUGUAAUUGGGAGAUGACCACAUUCAAUGUCUUUGAGCUGUGCUGUGAACCUGUGUGGCAGUGAGCAUGUGAGCCACGUAAUGAAGUGCAUGUGUGGCUGGCACCCUGAGAACACAACUCCACUGCAUGCUGGACAGGUUCAUGGGACAUCUGCCCAUUUCAGCAAGCUUAAAAGGCAGGGUCCAGUGAGGUUUCCUCCCUGUCUCAAGCUCUAUUUUCAGACCACGGAAAGGAGAAUAGAGUUCUUGUGCUCAUACUAGAGAUAACUCUCUUCCCAGUCUCUAGCCUUGAUCUGAACCAGAGCCAAGCACGCCAGCCCUCUGCGUGGUGACCAUUGUCCACAUCACCGUGGCCAGGUAAUCUCAAGAGCUUUCUCAGCUGUGUGGUAUAUGUUCCAUGUUCUAAAUCGAUCAGUGAAGCUCACACCAUUUACUAUUUGAACUCUACCACUGUAUGUUGCUGGGAACUAGGUGUAAAAUUCACUCAAAAAUAGGCUGUCAGGUUUUUGGUUCCUAGACUUAGCGCAGAAAGCUGAAACCAGGUUUUAGUGUGUUGAGCUCAAUUUUGGAGCUCUAUUGUGCCCAGUCUAUUUGGUUUUGGGCCAAAGUUUUGUAGCAAGUUUGAAGACCAUAGUAAGAUGAACAAAAUUACUAAUGGGAGAUGGGCUUGGUGCUACACAAAAUUGGAAGUAAAACAUGUCCAAAUAUUCUCUGCCAGACAUAAUAAAUGCUGAUUCAGAACACUAAAAUGGGGUUGCAGUGGUUUUGGCUCUACUUUGGUGCUUCAUAAAAAUUGUUCUGAAUGUUUUAAACCUAGGGGUACUAUACCAAAGUAGUAGAGCUAUAUCUAAGGAAUAACUUUGGUAAUGUGAGCUUGGUCUGCUGCUGUGUAAAAAUUAGAGCAAAGGUUGGCUAAAGUUGGACUGUGAGGCCGGACACAUAACUGAAUUUUGUAUUCAGUUCUGAGAACUGAAUUGCAGCAGGAUGCCUAGUUUGGAAUUCAUUUGUGACUGAUUCAUGGGGUUUUGGAUUAAGGGUUCCAUAGCAAAGUUGUAGACCAUAGUAAAGUGAACAAGUUUUCUAAAGUGAGAUGGACCUGAUUUCACAUAAAUUUGGGAGUAAAAGUAGCCAAAAGGUGGACUGUCAGGUGUUAGAAUUCAGACUUAGAAUAAUAUUUAAGUCUGAAUUUGUGUGUUUUUAUUUAAUUUGGGUCCUUGUGGUUAUUAAUCCAAGAAGAAUUAGUGUAGGAGUGUUAUAGCAAAGUGAAAGACCAUGUUAUAAGGAACAAAUCUCUUUAAGCAAGUUAGGCUUGAAUCCACAUAAAGAUGGAAAUAACAGCUGUCCAAAACUGGACUGUCAGAGUGCCUGUGACUGAAUUUUAUUCAGUUAGCUGAAAUAGCAGUUCAGUGUGAGUUAGUGCUUUGGAAACAAGAUAAGUUUAUCUAGGGAAGAGAUAAAGUUGCUUAAGAAGUUUUAAGCUUUUGGAUGAGAUAUAAGUUGGAUUAAUUCCCUGGUUUACCUAAGUGAUUUCAAAUUGGUCACUUUAAUCGAGCGAUAAGAAAUAGGUGUAUUCUUGUCAUGUGCUUUAGUUGUAGUGUUUCUGUUCUCCACCUCUCCUUGUGAGAGUUUGCAUUACAUGGCAUUCAUUCUUAUAUACACCUAUAUAUGGUUAUGUUUAGAAAACGAAGAAGAGAUCGAAGUGACUGAAGAAAAGACAUCACCACCUUUGGAAUCUCAGGCAGAGACUUGGCUCUACUUCGACAUCUGCGAGUCCGAGCCUGACUCACCUACUAACAAAGGCAAGCCCCGGUGCAUGCAACCCCUUUCCUUGUGUUUUUAAAUACUUUUCGCACACUUUAAGUCUAGUGAAAUGUGCAUUAGGGUCAUAGGAGUUGUUUGAAACCCUUUGAUGCAUUGCUUUCCUUGAUAUCCAUACCUUUAUAGAUACUUCUGUAAAGUAUCAAAAUAUGAUUUACAAAAAUGCUUAGCCUUGCUUAGAUCUUGUGGAUAGAGGUUGUCCUCAAUUUAACCCGGGAGAGGAUGGCUUCUACCUGCAAGAAUAUUUUCAUUUGGAGCAAUAGUGGGAUCUUACUGCAAAGUUCCCUGUGAUGCUCUUUCAUCCUAAGGAACAGACACAAUCCUAAGGAUGGAAAUACUUAAACUGAGACUUGGGUUAGGAACAGGUGAUGUUCUACCCAGGUUGGUUAAGGAUUAACGCGUAUGUAGGCGUGCUGACCGAGGACCCUUUAACUGGUCACAUGCCUCGUCAUGGGUAAGCCUUGCCUCGGGCAGACUAAGGCCGGAAUAAGAUAACACGAAAUGGGCGUGGAGCGGUGGCGAGAGUAGCGUGUACCCUCCGUGGCAAGAGGCUGGACGGUGGUGUAUCUGUGCUCUCGGUUUGCGUGAACCUGAUCCGGUCUUAAGAACCCCGGUGGCGGGUUGACAUAUGCAAGGGUUAAGUGCUACAUAUGUCGUGUGAUUGGAGAUCCUCAGCUGAGUAUAAUCGAUUCGGAUCGCCGUACCUUCGCGGUUAUGAAGACUUGGUCACUUCCCUGCAACCUAAAGUCAGGAUGUGAACACUAUGGAUAAAAAUGAUGUUGUAUUGAUGAGAUGUUGAAAUUAGACUAGAUGCAAAUAGAGUCUAUUAAUACUUAAUAUGGCGUUAAAAGAUUGAAAGUAAGGACUCACUUUAGUAAGCUACUUCUGCAAAAGUAUAAGUUGAUUUUUGCUAAAGCCUCUCCUUGACUCUUAUUUAUCCAGCAUACCCUUGAGAGUCUUUUCCUUAGUCGGGUAAGACUUGCUGAGUAAUUCCAUACUCAGGGUUUAUCCCUUUGUUGUUUUUAGGUGAGGAAGCGACAAAUUUUUGUUGCUUUUGCUCCAAGGUGGUAUCAAAUGAAGAAAAACAAAAGUGAAGAUGCGGGAGGACGUGGUCCUCCAUAUAGGAUCUUUUUGUUUUAAAGCUUUCGGGAGGAGUUUUUGUCUCCCUUGAUAUGUGUAAUAAUACUACUCAGCACUCGUUUAUAGCUCUGGUCUGUAAUAAGUAACUUGAUCUUACUUUCUAAAUAAAUGUAAGUUUAUGUAAUUGCUUCCGCACUUCUAUAUCUCCGAUGUUCUGUAAUGUCUGCAAGACGGGUGAGACGUUCCUGGUGAGGUAAGGAAAGAUACCGAACUUGUCAAGUGACUUAGGAACAUCUACAGGGUGUCUGAUGUCCGUUGGACAAGGACAACUGUAGGUGGGCCUAAUUACUUGGGAGGUUCCGUCACAGCUGGUAUCGGAGCGUAGCCCUUCUCUGCAGAUACUAUCAGACAUCUUCAAAAGAUUUUCUAAACAAACUUACCUAGAAAAUUUCUUCCUUUCUUACCUAAGUAAUUCUGAAGAGUUUAUUUUAAAGACCAGAUAGGAAGAGUGCAAUGUAUAGAAGGUGUGAAUCAACUAAUGUUGAUUCUGUAAUUACACAUGCAUCAUGUCAU
rnacentral:lncRNA from 1 species